AAUUAAUAUAAUUUAAAAGAUAAUUGAACAAGAAUUUAAGUGUCGUGGCUCGGGAUCAUAUCGAAAACUUGCUGGUAUGGUACAAUACGAUGUGUGCCGGAUUAUACUGAUGUAUGCCGGUUACAAAAAAUAUAUAUGUACAGAUAUAUAAUGGCAUGAAAUAUUUAUUUUCUUUAAUAAUAAGUUUUUUUAAUUAUUUAUUUUAUAUUUUUAUCAAAUUUUUUAAAUUUUAUUGAAAAAAUAUUUAAUAAUUUAGAGAAUAUAGAAUUUUAAGUUGUGUUAUCGGUACGGAAUGCUGUAUCGAACCAAUAUCUUAUUCACAUAAUAUAAUAUGGUGGAUAAGAUCCGUACCGAUGGGUACUUAAAUCCUUGUAGUUGUACACAAGUGUGACUCUCACGAGCAUCAAACUAACAGGAUUUAUGACUGAUAAACACUAACAUGACUAUAAAUCGGAUUUGUGCGCAGUACAUCUUGGCAGUCUUCUUUUGACCAAAAUGAUAAUAUGUGAUAUGUAGUGUGAAGUUGACAUUUUAAACUUCGAUAAGCAGUUCGUCAAUAAACGACGAAGCAUUAUUUCAAUUAUUGGAGAGCAUGUUUAGGCAAAAGUUGCAAAUUUAAUUAAGUAAUUUACUUCAUCAGCCGUACAAAAAUGCUGGCUCCUUAUAGCUGCUUAUUAUAACCAUUCAAAUCUAGAAUACCUUAGGUCUAACUAGGGGUGUAAAACGGGGCGGGCGGUCCGGCACGGCUACUGUAGCAUCAUAUCAUGGCGGGCGGAGCCGGGCCGGCUCCAUGGGUAUGUUGGGCCAAUCUUCUUUAGCCCGAUGGCCUGACCCGAUACGGCCUGAUAUGGGCUUGGGCUGUGCCGGGCUGAAGGUAGGCCCGUGGCCUGACACGGCACGGCCCGACCCCAUGGCCAGAGCUGUUGCCUUGGGCCUUAGAGUUGGAUCUCUUGGGGAGAAGGACCUUGGGCCUUCUUCCUAGGAUAUCUCCUCCCAAGGUUUCCUAGGAUACCUCCUCCCAAGGUCUGCUGUCCAAUGGACCAAACAAUUUAAUGGACCAAAAACAUUCAUCAUUUUUUUUCUUUGAAAAAAAAUAAAAAAUUAUAUAUACAUUUUUAAAAAAUUCAAAAAAUUGUUAUAUUAUAAUUAUUUUAAAAAUUAUUUACCUCUCAGGACUGAGUUUCUACCGAACGCUGGACUGAAAAUGGCUUAACACAAGAGUCUGCAAUCAGUCGCCUAAGUCACCGACUCAUAUGGCGGGUAAUUCGGCACUGUUUCGCCAGCGAAUGCGAUUUCACCCGCAAGUUCGAUGAAGCCGGCGAUCAGAGCUCUUUUUCCACCGCAUUCCAGGUUGAGCCCGUGGAGUUUUGGAUUGGGCCGACAUGUUGGCCCCACAGGUGAGGGCCCAUUAGAACACGAGGUCGCUAUCAAAUCGCGUCCCUGCCGAAUGUAACUGGCGCGGAGCACUGUGGAUCAAACCCCUAGUGGUGGCCGAUCACGCAGCUUCGGACGCGGAACCGACCCAUUAAUCCCAGUUAAUAACGCCGCCUCAAAUCCGUUAUUAUAACCACUCCUCACGCUAUACUUCUAUCCUCCAUCUUCGUCCCCCUACCCGCUCCGCCUCCUCCCUCGGUUCAACCGUUCGCGUUGUCGCCAACUAGUCCCUCUCCGUUUUCUAGGGUCGGUUUACAAAUUGUCGAAGCUUCGCGAGAUCGAUCUAGGGUUUUCAGAUCGAAUCCAGAGUCUCUACGCUAGAAAUCGAUGGCUUCGCCGAGGAAGGAGGGUUUGGCGAAGGGCGAGAUGCCCGAGGCAUCGGAUCGACCUCUCAGGGACGACGCGAUCGACGAAUCGAGAGAGAACGAGGGUUCUGAGGCUUCUGGAGCUUUAGAGGCUCCCAGGAGGAGCGAAGGAGGCGACGGUGGGCUCGCCGAGCGCCCGGGGGAUGCUCUUCGUGGUGGAUCGGAUGAGGAUCUGGUGCUUGAGAGGACCGAUGGGGAGAUCGGUGCGCUGCAGUGGCUCCGAGCGCUGGAUCUGCAGUUUCUCGGCGCGUGCCGCGCCGACGAGAGGCUGAAGCCUCUGCUCAAGCUCAACGUCUCAAGCGGCGCCAAAGAGGAUCGGCUGAUAUCGCAGCUAAGCCAGGUUUUCUCCUCAAACCCCUGUUCUGCAACGUACCUCAUUGGAAAUUCAAAAUUCUUAACUUUACAUUUGCUGAUGUUAUCUUAUCUGCUUGCAGCAUUUUGAAGUAUCGGAAAUUGGGAUGUUGGCGAGGUGCUUGUGCGUUCCUCUUGUUUCUAUUCGAGUUGGGAAAGUUAACAAGCAAGCGAACCUUUUGUGCCCAACCACAACCAGGUAAUUAAACAACAUUUGCUGGAAACUGAUGAUUCUCGUGCAUAAUAAUUGUUCCUAUGCUUGUCAACUGACUGCAAUGAUCUGCAUAAUCAUUUUUUGAUUCAUAUUUUCCUGUUAUAUUCACAUUCAAUUGUUGCUGUACUGUAGUUGAGCUAACAUUGUGAAACAUGGUUAUUUACCCUCUCUAAAUCAUGUGAAUAAUAGUAAUUAGUUGGAUUAUGUGGUUAACCAGGGUAAUUAUUAUCUGCAAGUGAGCAGCAUUAUAUUAGGUAGAAUCAGAUGAUUGAGGGGAAAUAUAGGCUGAUUAUGUUGGCUAUUUCAUUAUGAUGUGCUUACUAGUGAACCCAUGCCAAUAUUCAUUUUGCUACUUUAAUCUUGUUUUCCUUGCAGCAAUUCUGUGUUAUCAUGUCAGGUCAGUCCUUCCUAAUUUACUUUGCUUGGCAUGAUCUCUUUUGUCCUUCUUUAGAUGCAUCACCACAAAGAAUAAUCACUCUUUCGAAGCAAUCAUUGAAUGUGAUCAUCCUAAUAUUUGCACAUUCCAGUGACAUCUGCGCAGAAGAAAUAUUUGGCCUAUAACAUGUAAUUCAGCUUUUGUGACAAUUUAGUUUAGUUUUCCACACAAACCAUUUCAACUUAGAUGUUGUGAAGAGCCAAGGCGCAUACAGUAUGUGUCUUAGCUAAAUCGUUCAAAUUUCUAAUGGUGUUUACUUUGUUUAGAAAUUAGAAUGGGAACGAUGGAAAAAAUAUAGCUUCCUGUGCAAUCCCAUCCCUCUUAUACUUUCCCUUUUCACACAAGAAUUUGAUAACAAUGAAUGUAUUCUGUUGCUAUAUCUGGUUCUUCGAUCAUUGUAAUGGGCCAUUUAUGGGAGUUGAUGAAACAGUAAAAUGGAGUAUUCACCACGAACAAGCAAUUGUCUUUUAGCAAGUCUAAUAAGUUCCUUUAUUAUGUUCAUUCAGAUUCUUAGUACUUGUCAUUUUGGGAUGUGGUUUUUCUAAACAUAAUUCAACUAGCAUGUGGUCGAAGACUUUGGAGUGUGUGAUAGUAAAUGUAUCUUUGUUGGUUGAUUGCUACUUCUUCAGUAGGAUGUUCAUUAUUAGGUUGGGGAAAAAAAAUUGCUGAGAGGAACCAGUGCAUGUCAGUUUAUUUUGUCGAGUGAAGUACUCUUAUAUAUUUUUUUGACAAGCUAAGGAAAAUAUGUUUUCUGAUAGCUUUUGAAAGAAGACCAAAACUGAAGAAAAUGAAUAACUAUAUCACUCUGUAACUUUUUUUUUUGUCACUAACUUUCACUGUUGUUUUUUGAUAUGGCAUCGUCGAACAUUAAACUAGAAGCUAGAUAUUAUUUAUAUUGCAUAGAAUUUAGGCCCAAAAGCCGAAUAAAGAACAAGCUGAAACAGAAUUAAAUGAAUUAGUUUCGUUUAUUUUGGCCUAUUUUUGGUUGGCUUGUUGUUGUCUGAAGAAUUGGAAAACUGAAAACUAUGGUCUGUACAGUUUUCCUCCAAAAGACAACCGAAGCAGCUGACAUUUACACAGACUAACAGAUCAUUUCGAAACAGCUUUGAAAGGUGUUUGACUCACAUCAUUGGGGAAGAAAAAAACAAAGUGUCUUCAGUAUCUAAGAAUCUAAGUUGGUUACAUGCUCAAGUUAAUGGAACUGCUCAUACUCACAAUUGCUUACUUCGUUUAGCUAUUUUUAGAUAUACUAUUAUAAUGUGGUUCUUCAGACUGUUUUUGUGUGUGACUUACCUGUUAUGAUCCAUUUAACGAAUUUAUUAUAUUUUUUUGUCUUUAUCUUGUCUGGCUGUUUGAUAUGAUUAUAAUUUAUUUGCUACUUUGUUGCUUAGGAAGAGAUAUUAAUUGAAGAUUCAUUCACCAUAUCAAUAUUUAUACUCACUCUAGCAUGCUCGAGAACAUAUACCCUAUAUGCUGUUGUUACAAAUUGAUUGCAGGAUUCUAUCUUUCAGCUUAUUAGUGAUGGCAAUGUUCAUCCUUCCAAAUAAAUGUCUUUUGAUUUGUAGGUAAAGUGGGCAUGUGUGAAAUCUGUUAAGGUCUCUGAUAUAUGAGGGAAAAAAGAAGGUAGUUUCUUUUAUGGCCUGUGGUAUUCUGUUUUGCAUAACGAUGCCUAUAAACAUCUCGAUGUAGUGUUAGACAGGUUUAGAUCAUACUAAUGCUGUUGUUAGAACUUCAAAAUCUCAAGUGUUCUAAUGUUUAUCAUCUUGUUUUAUGCAUAUAUUAACUCAUUUCAUUGUUUGUGAAGAUGCAAUAUACUAUCAAAUAAAUACAUUAUGUUAUGUCAUGGUGUUUAAAUUGUGUGCUAUUGCUUUUUUGAUAUUGGAUUACUGUCACACUACAGUUUCUGAUAUUCGACUGUUGUCACUCUAAAGCAGAUGUGAGCAUGUCAAAAGCGAUUAAGCUUUACAUUUUUUGCAGUAUCUAUUUUUUGUGCUGAUAGAGUUUAAUUCAUAAAUUCGUCUUUGUUUUUGAUACAUCACGUUAACUAUGGUAUUUGCAUUUUAUUUUAUUAUUAUUUUUUUGGCUUGUAACUUUUUUUUUUGUAAUGUUUAACAUAUAUGUUGCUUUUGCAUGUUUAUUAUCUUUUCUUGCAUGUCUCGCGAAAGUUAGAGUAGACACGAAUUAGCCUGCUACAAACAAAAAAUGUUUUUUUGUAGAAAACUUUCUUUUUCCCUGUUCAUUUGCCUUUUUCACUUUUCAGUUUCCUUUUUUCGAGAGCAAGGGAUUUUGUUCAUUCUGUAUCAUGUAUAUCGUGUCAGGCCUGUUUGCUCACAUUCUCUACUUACAUUUCUUCUUCUUUGGAGUGUUGCCAGUUAACACUUCAAUAAGCUGUAUCAGUAUUUGGUCCAUAGUCCUAAUUUGGGACAAACAUAUUUGCUCAAUCUAAAUUAUUUUUAAAAAUUUUUUUACCAUGUUUUAUGGGCUUUAUAAGCAUAUUAUAAGAUCAACCUCUAUGUUCAAGUUGGAUUGUUAAAUUUAUAGUAGUCUUAAUUUGGAAAUUUUCUUUUUUUAAACGAUGUUUAUGUGUAUAUGUGCUAUUUCCAGAGUCUCAACCCUCGAUCGCUUGUUUACUUGCACAUAUGCCCAUUUCUUCUUUCUUCCGGUCCUCUAAUCACAACCAAACUAGUUUAUUUUUAUACUUCCUGAAGUAGCAAUUGUCAGCUGUCAUAUGUAACUUCUUUCUUGAAUCCAGUAUCUGUUGGGAAUUUUCCACCUGCGCUAUCAAACCAGUGACUGCUGAUAUUGGCCUUGCUUUUAACAUACUGCUGUGAGAAAACCCAGACGGGAAUAAAUUAACGCUGGUGGUGCAUGUGGAGGCAUUGGGAGACUGCAGUCUACCAUUCAGUGAGCAUCCAUCCAAGCUGCUGUUUGGUAAUGGUUGGCAGCAAUUAUGGACUGGAUGACUGGAUGUUAGAUAGUCUGCCCCUGCAUGUGCUACUGGUUGUAAAUUAUCAUCUCAAAAAGCCUUACUGCUUGCUACAACACUAUUCUAUUAUCAACUUUGGUAUCCUAUAUAUAUUAACAGCUCUUGGUUAGGGAAGAUAGUGUUCACAGGUCUCGAGAAAGGCUCUAAAUUAUUUUUUUUCUUUUUUUUUUUUCAUUCUCUAUUUCCACUAAAUGGAAUUCUGGCGUUUAGCUAUGAGUUAUUUUGUUGCAGUUGUUUUCUGCUAGACACUUGCUCAACUGUUAUAAUUGAUUUUCGUGUCUGCUUAUGUAGGUCCUAUAGUCACUUGAGAAGUAUUCUCUCUCUUUUUUUCGUCCCCUUUUUUCCUGUCUUUAUCAAUUUUAUUUUGUUUAUUUGUCCAUAUUGUUAUCUUAUGGAGUGCAAUCUGUAGUCUGAUAGUGUUUUUGUUUUGAUUUCCAUUCGACAUUGCAUUUAUAAUCCAACCUUAUAUCUUCAUUACCUAAAACUUCAGACCUCUGACUUGCCUCCUCUUCUGAACAGGGGGCAUUUAAAUCUCACUCUCCUGCCUUCCUCAAGCAUGCGCAUAUCAUUCGCCGGUGAUGAUGGUCACACUGAGCGACUCGCUUUGGUGAGCAACGAAUUUGAGGAUUUUGAGGUGAUAAUUGAAGGAAUAUCAGCUGAUAGCUCUGGUCGCUCUUUCCAACUCAAGGUCUCAGAAUCUCGAGUAUUGUACUAUUGGUGCUCAGAGAAGUCAAAGCACCAUGGAAUGGAAUUGCUUGAAAAGGUCAAACUUUCUUCAUCUGAAGCCUUUGGCUUUAAGUAGCCUUUUGCUGGUCUUGUGAAGACAACUAUUGAUCUGCUUGUUACAUAUUUUUAUUUUAAACUGAUUAGGUUAUAGUAGGAGAGUAUAAUUGAAAGAAAAAAAAGGUUUUUAUACUGUUUAUUAUGUUUAUAAUUGAAAGAAAAAAAAGGUUUUUAUACCGUUUAUUAUGUUCCUUUUUGGAAUAGUUUGUAACUUCGUCAAUUUCUUAUCUAAAUUCUUAUGCUCCGGCCUAAACAGACAACUAAAAUUUUUGACCCUAAACACAAAGCUGAAGUUCACAGAAAAUUGGCUGCAUUAAGACACCUUUGUUUUUUCUUUUGUUUGUAUAUUAUUUAAUUCUUCCUCAGUAUUUAUCAUUGAAAACACUUUUUUUUUUUUCUUUUUCUUAUUUCUGGACAGAUGAAAGAUCUACUCAAAAGGAGGCCCACUUUAUCCAAUCUCACUGGAAUUUCUGAUUCCCGCCUUGAUUCUUUUGCCACUCAUCUCCAGGCUUAUCUUCUCGGUUCAUCAAAUUCUGUAGAAAUCAAAUCAAUUGCUUCACCAUUUGACUUCCUAACUACCUCUACCACAGACGAGUUGUAUUCUCAUUCAUCCCCUCUUGUUCCCAAAUCCUCCCGUUUUCGUCCCGCAGCAGCUCAUGCAGCAAAAGUAAAUCCUGUCUACCAAGCCAGUCUCAGUCCAAGAUCAAACACUUUCAAGGAUGGUGCUCUGAGAAAUCCAUCUGGUGUAAGAAGUGGUACCAGAGAGAAACUGAAGCGGCGUGGAGAAGGCCACAUCAUCUCAUCAACUAUCGCCACCCCGCCAAUCUCUUCAUCAGUGUCCACUUCUACACACUCUUCUAUCUCCAACAGCCUCAAUGUAGAUAACAGUUUGUUCGUAGGCUUGCCUAAAAUAUCAUGUUUACCUGCUUCACUCUUGUCGUGCAACCCUCCCGCUGAAAGUCCGACCUCUACUGACGUUGCAGCCCAGAGCUCACUUUUCAGACCGUACUAUUGCUGGUGCCCUCCCUGCCCCUCUUCACUACAGUACAGAGUCACCCCUCUGCAUCAACCAUCCACGUCUUCUGAAUCUUUACCCCUGCCUCCUUUAUCUUCACUCUUAUCAGGUGCCCACCCUCCCGCUUCAGGGUUACCUUCAAAAUCGACGAAUGAGACAACUGAACUCCCACCUUUGAACUUUCAAUCGCUAUUGCAUGACCCAUUAGCACACCUAUCGCUCCCUGUAUCAUCACGUGUUUCCUUGCCCGGAUCACAAGUUCUGACUUUCACACCGUUCAUGUCUGAUCCCAUUGUGCAUAUCCCGGUCAUCGAUGUUUGCUCCUCUGGCCAGGCUUACCUUGUCAGUGCUGGGCCAGCUAUUUCUUCGGCUAUUCCGCCUCUCCAUCCAACUCGUGUGAAUCCUCUUAUUCCAGAGGCUGAAUCGUUGGCUGAGAAAAAUGCGAGGGAAACACUUAGGAGGCUCAUAGAUUCAUCGCCAGUCUUGGUCAGGCCGCAGUUGAUGAGUGUGGCCCCAGCAGCCUCGAAUGGUGUGGAUGGACAUCUCUUCUGCUCUGAGGUGAGUUUGUUGAGAUAAUCCUAUUGCUUAUUUUUGUUUAAAUCUUCCUAUUGUCUUUUUUUGGUUUAAAUUUUAAGUAAGAUGGGGAUUUAAUGAAAUAAAAUGUAGAGAUACACCUUAGCAAUGGGCCUUUUUGAAACUGACUGCCCAGUUUGCCAGCUUUGUUCUUUUUGUUAUUUCUAUUGGGAAGUUUACAGCUUUGUUAGCUGUUAUCCAUUGACUGUUAAUGGACUGCAGGGUUCUUUAAAAUUUUAAUGGAAUACCAAAUUCAACUUGUGAGAAAAUUCAAAUCAAAGUGAUGUCAAUCAAAAAUAAAUAGGUUUUUGGAUAUCUACUUUAAAAUGUCCUGUGGAUCAACCAGUGUUUUCUUUGGUCAUAACGUCAUGACUUAUUCAUCUUUGUUUGCGGCAUUUUAUAGGGGGCAAAGAGAGAUAUUCAUAUCAGCAGCCAAAAUUAUGGCAGAAACUUCAAUUUUGACUCUAUUGCUAGUGGCAUAUCACUCAUGGGGUUAUAUUCCUCAAAGGAUGAGGUUGAUGGAGAUGACGGUGACGAGACAAUCGGCGAGGAGGGACAUGAAUGCAUGGGCACGCCGAAGAAUCCAUAAUACCAGAAGAGAGAGUGGCGACCGAGCAGGAUGAUUGACGACCGUUGUUAGGCCGCUCAUGCAAUGUGUGGUUUACUAGUUAAUAUAGCUGAAGGGAAAAAUGUCCUGUAAUUUUGUUUCAUCUUUUUUCUUCUUUUUUUUUUUCUCAUUUUGCAUCCUGCCAAAAAAUUGGCUUUCGUUAGGAAUUUGUAAGUAAUUUGCCUGUAAUCCAACUGAACUUUUUCGAGUGCUAUUGUAUUUGAUUGGUUUGUCCAUUUUGAAACUUUCUCAGCAUCUAUACUGGUGAUUUGUGCGAAUUGUUUCAAUUUUUUCUCUUUCACUCGAACCUGUCGGAUAAUAUGUUGUUGAUUCAAGAAAAUUCUCGUGAUGGAGCUUCCAGGGUCACGGUAAACCUUUUCUCGAGGAAUUUGACGGACUUCAUAAGGAAAAAAAAAAAAAAAAAAAAAAAAAGACAAGUGCACGGCGACAGUAGGACUUAGCAGCUACUUUUACAAUCUUUUCUCACCGAGGAAGUGAUCCUAGUAGCUGCAACCACGUUUUACUAUUUUUACCCACCACGACGAAGCGGUCCAGGUUAACGUCCCUAGGGAAAAGCAAAUACUAAAUGCACUCCGUGUACAUUUUGCAGCGCCUACUGAGGAGUUCGUCGUACCAUGCGUGGGGAUCACAAAUACACACCAUGUCGUAAGAUCGGCUCUCUUCCAUUAAAUGGUAUGGUUUCUUUUACAUUUAUUUGAUGCUCUGCCGUCACUAAUAAAUGCAUGGGCAGACCAAGUGUUGACUUGUGUUCGUCUCUCUAUAGAAUGGAGCCCAAAAUUUAAUUGAUAAUAUAGCUUAGUAGGCAUCGAUACAUAUUAUUUGAUUUAACUUUUCAAUUUUCAAUCAUGGCAUCUGAUCGAAAAUUAACUCUGAACGGCUAAUAUUUCGUUUAGCGAUAGUAAUUUUUUUUUUCUCUUUAGUGUCUCACUAGAAGGAAAAAAGAAAAUAUUAGACCACAUCUCUUUAGCACAUCUUAAGUUAAUCAAUAAUAAUAAAAAUAAUUGAUAAUACUUAGUGUAGCCUAGUUGUUUCGUAUUUUUAUCUGAAUUCAUCUCUGAAAAAUGAACAAAACUAAUAAAAUUUAAAAAAUUAUUUAACAGUGCGGUCAAAUUACAUAAAAUUUUCUAAUAAGGAAGUGAAAGAACAAUAACAACGCCAAAACAAGUCCAAAUAAUUGCAUGCCUAAUACCAAUUUAUUUAUCAAUAGAUAUAUUAGAAGGUCCGUGAAAACGUUACUUCUCAGGUACUUACUCUGGGCCCUACAGGUCAUUUAUAACUACCAUCUUUUGUCGCCUUUCUCAGCGAUGAGUACUUCUCUCUUUCUCUCUCUCUCUCUCUCUCUAUCAGAUUGACAACUACCCUUUGUGAAUUUUGAGUUGGGUUAAUUGCACCAUUCGUUCCCGAAACUUUUACCAGAUAUUUUUUUUCCUUCUUCUUUUGGUCCCCAAACCUACUGUUUGAGCAAUUAAAUUUUUUAAUUUUUAAAAUUAAUUACAACAUUGGUCCCUAACUUAUUAUUACCUGUUUCCGUUUUGGUCGACUGAUCAUGUCAAGACUCAUCUCCUCACCCUUAGUAUUAUAUUUUGUGCCUACGACCGUCUUUACUAUACAUACGACACUUUUUUUUUUUUUUUUUUUUUUUUUUUUUUUGAGAGAAAGGUAGCAAGCUAUCUGCUUCAUUCAUUAAGAAAAAUGAAUUUAGCGUACAAAAUGAAGGCAGCUAGGGCCUUCUAAGCGGGCGAGGAACCAGGAAAGGAAACAAACAAAACAAAGGACAGAAAAGAAGAAAACGAAAAACCACACCGACUGGAUUGUACCGAAGAGUAACCCAAAAGGCGAGGUAAAAGGUGACUAUUCCUACUACUCCUAAAGUCAAUAUCUCGGAGGAUUGCGCGUUCACAGGUCAAGCGCUUCAGUCCAGUCUUUCCUCAACGAAUCGACCCGUUCCACAAGUCGAUCAGCGUUCGUAGUCAUAUCCCGGAAUAUAAUAUUAUUGCGCUCUGUCCAGACGACCCACCAGAUUGCCGCCAGACGUGUGAGACGUAUCAUUCUCGACCGGGCAAUGGGGAAAUUAGCUGUCCGUGACCACAGGCUCCUGACAUCACAUAUGUCAGGCUCCCAGGUAAUUGAACUCCCCGCCAACAGAAGGAGGUAUCUGACGAAGACACAAUCCCGAAAAAGAUGGUCACAGUCCUCCAAUGCGACCGCACAGAAAUUGCAGUACGGAUUCACCGGGCACCCUCGGCGGAUCAAUCUAUCGGCUGUAAGUAAUCUCUUACGGAGUAGGAUCCAAAUGAAGACUUUUACUUUGGUAGGGAUUUUUAAUUUCCAAAUAUGUUCGCAAUUUGGGUCUCGUUGUCCUCCGUCGGUAAUGAAAUCGUACAUAGAUUUAACUGUAAACUUUCGGUCGUUGGUCCAUCGCCACUCCACGAUAUCCGUACUAUCUGUAGGAGAAUAGUUGGAAAGUAGGUUUUUUAGCAAGCCGAACUGUUGACGUCUGGUACCGUCUGUAGCAGUUGCGAGACCCCUUCCGAUGAAACGCCAUCUCCACCCUUUAUCAUUCCAACAUUGCGCUACCAUGACCUCGUUGUUCACAAUUCUGGAGAAUAAUCCUGAAAACCGGGUACUCAGAGGGGUUUCUUCAAUCCAAAUGUCUGACCACAUCCGCACAUUUUUUCCGUCCCCCAGCCUAUACGAUACCCCGCACUUGAAGGCAUCCCGACAUUUCAUCACACUUCUCCACCACUGUGAAUAAGGUCUGAACAUUCUACCCUCAUGUAGCGGCCUUCGUCUGGUGUAGUAUAAUGCUUUAAUCAGCCUUCCCCAAAGCAACUGCGGCUCCUUGAAGAGGCGCCACCACCAUUUGGAUAAGAGUGCGAAAUUCAUAGCUUCCAUAUCUUUAAUCCCCAAUCCCCCUUCUUUCUUACUUUUGCAUACCGACCCCCAGCCAAUAAGACAUGAACCCCCUGAAAUUUUAGAGCACCCUCUCCAAAAGAAGGAUCUUCUCAAAGCUUCAAUGCGUUCCAGUACCCAUUGUGGAGCUUUGAAGAUUGUAAAGAAAAAUAAUGGUAAAUUUGAGAGCACCGAGUUUACCAAGGUUAGCCGUCCCCCAUAAGAGAGAAGUUUAGCCUUCCAACCUUCGAUGCGCGCCUCAAUUCGGCUAACAAUCGGACCCCAAUCAUCCUUUCGAAGGGAUUUGAUAUGAAGCGGCAACCCCAAGUAGCGAAAUGGUAGGUUGCCUACCUUACAUCCUAAGAUUUCUGCGAGUCUAUUGGCUCUGCUUGUAUCGGGGCCCAGAUAAUAGAGUUCCGUCUUGUUCGUGUUUAUCUUUAGGCCCGAGGCCCACUCAAACAAUUUCCAAAGGAACUUCAGGUUUCGCAUCGCCGAUUUCUUUGGUUCCGAGAAAAAAAGUGUGUCAUCCGCAUAUUGGAGAAUUGUUGUUUGACAGUCGUCGGUCGGGCCAAUUCCUUUCAGCAAGUUGUUACUCCUGGCUGCUUCCGUAAUCCUAGCUAGACUGUCGGCCACUAAGAUGAAUAGAUAGGGAGAGAGCGGGUCGCCUUGUCUAAGCCCUUUCCUUGUUUUCAGCCACGUUGUCGGCUUGUCAUUAACUAAGAUGGCGAUUUUAGCGUUACAGAUGCAUUGUUCGAUCCAGGACCACCAUUUGUUGCUGAACCCUAACCACCUCAAAAUGCUUUUCAAAAAACUCCAUCUGACACUGUCGUACGCUUUCUCAAAGUCCACCUUGAUGCUAACACACUCCUUUCCCGAUUUUGCGGACCAGUUGAGAAGUUCACUCGCCGUAACGAACGAAUCAGCUAGGAGACGAUCCUUCAAAAAAGCCGCUUGUGCUGGGGAAAUGAUCUUCGGUAAAAUGAUCGCAAGUCUAUUUGCCAGUACUUUUGAGAUGAUCUUCUGAAUUCCAUUCAUGAGGCAUAUCGGUCGAAAGUCGUUAGCUCUACAUGCCCCUUCCUUUUUUGGAAUAAGGCAGACGUGUGUGUAAUCUGUUGGGGCCGUGUUGAGCGUGCCAUUCUGGAGAUCGGUGAAAAUACUAAAAAUGCUCUCCUUCACCGUCUCCCAGAAGCGCUGGAAAAAGAUGAGGGGGAAGCCGUCCGGUCCCGGUGCCUUUUCACUGCCUAGUUGGAAGGUAGCUUUCUUAACUUCUUCGAGGGUAAACGGGCUAGUCAUGGAAUCCAGGUCGGAAAGCAAGUUCGCGCGAUACAGAUCGCUCCAAUCUCCAACCGAUACCGGAUCCUCCUCCACCUGCCCAAAAAGACGUUUGAAGGAUUGAAAAAAAUAAGAUCUCAUUUGGUCAUUGUUGUGGAUAAUUCUUCCGGCGUCAUCUUCAACAGAUUCUAUCGCGUUUUUGCGCUUUCUCCUAUUGGCCACGGCAUGAAAAAAUUUAGUGUUGUUAUCGCCUUCCUUAAGCCAAUGUUGUUUCGCCCUCGUUUUCCAUAGAAUUUCUUCCUCCUUAAGAAAUAGUUGAAGUUGUGAUUUAAGCUCGACCCUUUUAUCCUGGGCUUCCUGUGGCAGAAUAUUUUGCUCCUCUAAAAGGUCGAUAGCUCGAAUUUCCUCAUGAAUGCGCUUUAUACCAUUAGAGAUGCUAUGAAAGUUCGUCUUACACCACUCCUUCAUUCUAACUCUGCAGUGUCUGAGUUUAGCAGUUAGCGUUAGUAAAGCCGACCCUUUAUUGGAGACUUCAUUCCACCAGGUUGGGACCUUUUCAGAGAAGUCCUCCUUAGUGAGCCAGACCUUCUCAAACCUAAAACUCCGCGAUUUGGGGCCGUUUCCAAUAUUUAGUACGAUCGGGGUAUGAUCAGAUGUAAUCCUAGGUAGCGCUGAUACCCUGCAGUGCGGGAAGGUUUGGUCCCAUUCCGUUGAUACGAGAAAUCUGUCCAGCUUUGCCAGAGUUGGUGACCGCUGCAUGUUUGACCAGGUAUAUUUUUGGUUCGAGAUAGGCAGAUCGAUAACUUGGAGAUUCGAGAUGAGGUCAGAGAAUAGGGACAUUGCUCGACCCGACCAAGGAUUUCCGGUUCGUUCUGCUUGAUUUCCGGUAAGGUUAAAGUCCCCGCAGAUCACCCAGCUGUUUGAACAGCACCCGCUGAGAGAGAGGAGCGGUCACUAAUUUGAGUUCAAUGUAUCACCAACUUUUUCGAAAAUAAUAUAUAUAUUGAUAUCGAAAUCAAUCGAGGACUAUUGAAUCAUAACCAAGACUAAUAGGAGUAGAUAGGACUUUAUUUUAUUUUGACAAAGUUAAUGAGGAUUUGAAUAAUGACAACCUGAUUGAAAUAAAAUAUAUCUAUAAAGAUACAGAGCUAAAUAGAAACAAAAAAAAAAGAAGUUAGAAACCACAAUGACAAAACAGGAGGAAGGUUAGUAGGGCCAAUGGUGCAAUUAGCCCUCGUUUGUGAGUGUUCAAUGGCAUGUAUCCUCCAUUUCAAAUUUGUCCGUAACAGAUGGUGUUCGCAUUCCGAUGUGUGGCCCCUAUUACUUCUUUUGUCUUGUUGCGACGAGUCAUGUGACUACUCUAGAUUGGCUUCUUCUUCUUUUUUUUUUUCGGAAAAUAAAAGAAACAACUUUGAUUGCCCAAAAAUGUUUAAAUUAAAAGAUUAAAGCAUGUAGAGUUUAUCUAAAUUAUAAAUUAUUUUUAGUUAAUUAUUUAAUUUUUUAAAAUGUUAUUUUUACUAUUUAAUUUUUUUAUUUGUUUGAUUCGAAUAGUCCUCGAUUGCAUGAAGUUUGCUAACUAAAUUUAUAAAAAUAAACAAUAUAUUCAAAUUUGAAUUCAAAAUGUCGCUGAUUGACUCAAAUUGAAUAAAUUUAAAAUAUGAAUAGCAAAAUUAAAGCUUUAAAAAAUAAGAUAAUUGACUUAAGAUAGUCUAUAAUUUAGAUGAAUUCAGUAUGUUUUUAUCUAAACAUGCAAUUGGAACGAGGGAGUAGAGUGUUACACGCAAGGUGCACGGGACACUGAUUUUGAUUAAUUUCAGGUGAUGUUACGUACAAAUAUAGCCAUUUUGAUAUUGAUAUUACAUAUAUAGUUAUUAAAUUUAGGCGGUGAUGUGAUAUAUUCUAGAAUACGAUCAGAUCAAUUUUUUCAAUAUUAUUUUCUUUAAUUUAAAGCACACGUAAUUAAUGGAAAUGGAGCCUAACCUGCACGUAACGCUACAGGGGAAGUGGUGGAAAAAAAAUAGCAACUUGGCAAGAGUCAAAAGGGUGGGGCAAAAUAUAAUUAAAAGGAUUGCUCGAUAACAAAUGGAGUACAUAAUAAUAAUCACCAAUAAUCCAAAGUCAGAGAUCAACAGUAAUUGUACCGCUCGGUGAUCAAUAAUUAAGCUGGAAUAAGCCAAUUUCUUUUUAUUAGCUCGUCAGCAUCACGCGUCCUCGUAGACUACACUCUUGUGUUAAUCCAUACUGUAAAUCUAUAAAUAGUCUUAGUUACCUUCUCAUUAGUGUUUUCGCAUGAAAUCGGAACUUGUUAUGGUCUAAAUGUUCUAGAUGAUAAUAAUAAACGUAGACAAGUACCAUGGACUUUUGAGAAAUUGAUUAAGCCUUGACAUUUACAGAUAAUUAUGGUGGCGAUUUUUAUAUAUAUAUUAAAAAAAAAAAAUCAAUGUGUUAAUUAGCUGCUUCGGAUUUGAUUUCCAGUAUGAGAUAUUGAGGUGAGCAGGAGUGCCAUUGGCCAGUAGUGUCAUAGUGUGUGUGGGUGAGAGAUUUUUUUUUUUUGAGAGAAAAGUAGCACGCUACCUGCUUCAUUCAGUAGGAAAAAUGAACUAAGCUUACAAGGUGGAAGCAGCUAAGGCUUUCUUGGCAAAAAGCGAACACAGAGAAACAGAGAAACAAAACAAAAGUGGCGAAAGAAGGAAGGAAGAAUUUAUAAAAAGAAAGUGGGGGAGGAAAAAUUUGGUUACAGGAGUGAGCUCCAGUCACUAAACAAUGGUGUGGGUGAGAGAUAUUGUAACCAAUAACUGUUCUAAACAAUGAUGUUGCACGCGUAGGUUAUGGUGUCCCGGCCUUUCCCGUGAUAGGAGGAUUCAUGGGACUCCCAGGUUCGUACCAUCGGAAUCUUUCGCUGUACACGGGAAAAAGACGAGUACCAGUCGAACCAGAUAGCGCAGUCCAUAUUUUUUUGGUCCCUUCAUGUUUCCAUUAAUCUGUUCACUGAUCAAUUCGAAAUUGUCCGUCCCCCCAAUUUAUUAUUAUUAUUAUUUUUUUGUGAGAGAAAGAUAACAUGUCAUUUGCAUCGUUCAAUAAGAAACUAAAUUUAGUUACAAGAGUGAGACAGCCAAACCUCGUAAGAAAAAAAAAAAAAAAGACAGAAAUAAAUAAAAGAUAAAAACAACAAGUAAAAUAUAGCUAAUAGUAGCCAAAAAAAAUAAAAAUGCAUAUUUUGGUCGAUCGUUCACUCGUUCACAGAAUCGUUUUAGUUGGCUAUACCCUCCCACAUCUUUACAACAUAGCUAAUUUUUCCGACUACCCGCAAAAGGUGCGAGCUCUUCUGAUCGAAGAUCGUAUUAUUUUUGUCUAGUCGAACUGUCCUCUCAAAAUUAUGAACUAAACCAAACUCAACUAUGCUUUAUUCUAAAUUAAAUCCGACCGUGCGUUACUCAAAUUUCUUAGCGUUAAGGAGAGUAAAUUUUUUAAAAAAAAAACAGAAAAGUCCAAUUAAAUAAUAAUAAUAAUAAUAAUAAUAAUAAUCAAUGCUAUCUGUUUAUUUCAAAAUAUGAUGAAAAAGCUUACACUCCAUAUCAUCCAAUGGCUACUAUUUGAUCAUGAUCUUAAUUAUCAAUUGUUUUAAAAAAAAAUAAUUACAAAUUCAAAGAGUUUGUGAAUCUUAGGAUGCUUUUGGGGGUGUACAACUAGUAUUUUAAGUAUCAAAUUUAGGCUCCACUAACCGAAAGAAUGAAAAAUUAUCUUCUGAUAUCCUUCGUAUAUUCUGCUAUGUUCUGUGCACCAGGUUCAUGCAAAAUCAAAAAUCCAACUGUGACGAGUCUUUUACAUUUAAAAAGUUUGCAUAUCAAAACACUCAUGAAUUGUGAAGUAUCACUUUCAUCGAUCGCCAUCAAUUUUUCCGCUACUCAAUAUCUUCUUUUAAUGAACUUUAAAGCUAUUAUUUUUUUAUUUAAAUUUUAACAAUCAAAGAUCAAGCAUGGCGAGCACUAGGCACACUGUCCCCCACUCCUCUUGUGAUUCAGAGCAUUUAAUAUUUAAUUAUUUUUCUUGUUAACAUUUUUUUAAAAAAAACUGUCUAUUAUGGACAAUCUUCUCAAAAGGGGAUGGUCAGAAAAUAACAGAUGUAUCUUGUGUGCCGCUAAUAUGGAGACAGUAGAUCAUUUGCAGGUGGAUUGUGUUGUUAGCAAGUUCUUCUUGAUUUCACUGCUCGACAACCCCCACGUCUUCCCCUCCACUGAGGACGUCAAUAUUGUCUGGGAGGAGUUGUCGGGGAAAGGGUCACAGGCUGACAUUGUGAAGGCUCGGGCACUUGUGACGGCUACGUGGUGGACGAUCUGAUGCGAAAGAAACAACCAUAUUUUCCGGAACCUAUCUAUGAACGCUAUCUCUAUUGCUCAUCGUAUUGAAGUAUUAGCAAAAGAGUGGGUCGAUUUUGUAGAACUGAAUGAAGGUUGCAUUUGUUCCGCCCUUUAUUUUAGACUUUUUUUUUUUUUUUCCUGCUCGUCUUUUUUGUUUUCUUGACUCUCUAUUUUCUUCAGGCAUUGGCUGUCUUAUUCUAGGUAGCUAAAUUUAUUUACUUAAUAAAUGAAGCAGGUAGCGUGUUAUUCUUUUCUUAAAAAAAAAAAAAAAGCAUUAAAUAUUUGAAGAUGAAAUAGUUAUUUGUCGUCCCUGCAAAAUUCUAAUUAUGUUAUACAGCACAUCAAUUUUGUCGCAUACUUAAUACACGUAAUGACACCAUUAACAUAACAUCUUGUGUGGUUUUCCAAACUUAAUACUGUGGUUCACAUUCGUCCACAGAUCUAAUUCACAUUCACGCCGAAUUGCUGGUAUCCAACAAUAAGAUAUUUGGGUACGUUUGGAAGGCUAUGAAUUUAAUUUAUUGCAGAUAUUCUGGUUACGUUGGCCAAGCUCUCUGUUCUUAGAUAAAUAAAUAAUUAUAUUAUAUUAUAGCAGGGUAAAAAUAUACUGCACUUACUUGAAUUAUGAAUUUUUUUACCUAUAUUUCAAAAUUUUAACUUUAUUAACUAACCUUUUAAAUUUAUUUGAUUUGAGUUAGCCAACUAUAUUUUGAUUUUUCAAUUUAAGCUUAAUAUUUUUUUGGAAAGAAUUUAUAGUUAUGAAAAUUGAAUGAAAUAUAUUAACUAAGUCUGUAGAGAUAAAGGAUAUAUUCAACUAUUGAAGUGAAUGUACUGUCGAUCGACUCAAAUCAAGCAAAUUAAACAAUUUAAUAAUAAAUUUAAAAUUUUUACAAAUUAAAUAGUUGAUUUAAAAUGACUCAUAAUUCGGAUGGGUUCNUGUACUAACUUGAUACAAAAUUAAAACCACAGAGUACUAAAGUGAUAAAGUGCAAAACCACAGGGUACUAACUUGAUACAUUUUAAACCACAGGGUACUAAAGUGAUAAAGUGAAAAACCACAGGGUACUAACUUCAUACAUUUUAAACCAUAGGGUACUAAACUGAAAAAAUUGAAACCACAAGGGUGGUUUUUGAAGUUUUCCCAUAAAUAAAUAGAUAGAGAUUACGGAAUCGAGCUCUCUCUCUCUCACUCUCUCGCUCUUUUGCUCGGUCGCUCGCUCCUUUGGCAUCACGAUGGUCGAUGGAUAUCCGCCCUUGUAGUUGUAGAAGCUCCUUCCGAAUCCCUCCUCUUCGCCCUCGCUAUCCUCUUCCUCAAUUGCGGAGAGGUGAUUCCGUAGAUCGGGGUGGCCUUCGUUGUCUCCGUUAAUGGCGGAUCUGGUCGAACCCUACUGUUUUUCGCUUGGAUUCGUCGGCUCCCUGUAGCUACGAAGCGGUGGUGAGGAGCUAGGGUUGUCGUCUUGCUGUGCGGGGUCGGGGCGGUGGAUGGAUCAGAGGACGAUUAUGGAGCAGCGGAACCUGAGCCGUGCGAUGAGCUUUGGGGGGAUCCCGGACCUGGCCCUGGAGUGCGUGAUGGGGCACCUCGAUGAGCCGCAGGACCGCGACGCGGUGUCGCGCGUGUGCCGCAAGUGGCACCGGGUCGACGCGCUGACGCGGAAGCACGUCACCGUCGCCAUAUGCUACUCGGCGGCGCCGGAGCACCUCCGCCGCCGCUUCCCCCGCCUCGAGUCGCUCAAGCUCAAGGGGAAGCCCCGCGCCGCCAUGUUCAACCUCAUCCCCGAGGAUUGGGGGGGCUCUGCGGGGCCCUGGAUCGCCGAGAUCGCCGACUCCUUCGAGUGCCUCAAGGCGCUCCAUCUGCGCCGGAUGAUCGUCAGGGACGAGGACAUAGCCCUGCUCGUGAGAGCGCGGGGACACAUGCUCCAGUCCCUCAAGCUCGACAAGUGCUCAGGCUUCUCCACCAACGGGCUCAAGCUACUAGCCCGAUCUUGCAGGUUUUUGUUUGUUCUUCUCUUUGCAUAGAACAAAGAUUUGAUCUCUCUCUCUCUCUCUCUCUCUCUCUCAAUACUUUCAUUUGGUUUGUGUAGCUUUUGCAUCUUUUUCCGCUUUUCCGUGUGCGUUUUAGCGUUCUCUCCAUUUUUGUUAACUUGUUAUUAUGUCUUAUCAUGCUCAUUCUGGUCAAGGAUUGUUGGCCGAUUAAAGAAUCGAGUGAUUUUUAUUAGGGAUUAAGUAUUGAGAUUAGAAGGGGCAGCAAAAUCUGAGCACUGUUUGAUCUUAUCUACUCUUGAUCCGAAUGGGGACAUUAGAGGUCACCUGGAGGAGAAUUUGAUGAUACUAUCCGGUGAAAGAUUCUGGCCUUCUAUUUACGUCUAGUAUGGACUCCUUAGAACAGCAGAUCUUGCCGAAGCAAUCCAUACACUGGCAGAUUGUCUUAUCCUACUUUCUACUACCUGUAACCUUAAGAUUCAGACGAUUUAGCUGGCAUGGAUAAUGUGCCAGUCCCAUUGUCUGCUUAGCGUUCUUUAUUUUGGAGCUUUAGAAAAGGCAGCAUCGUGCAGGUUUUCUACAAGCUUGGACUAUCUCUUGUAAUAUUUUGGAGUUUGAAUGUCUAUGUAUUAUUGCUUAAUAGUCGGAUUGCAACUUGUAAGCGACGGAUCAAUUUAUUUGUUGGGGGUCAAGUAGCUCAGUCAAUUGGAUUUCCUUAAAAUCUUCUGCUCGUCUGUGUUGAUUGUGCGAUGCAAAGUUUUGUGAUUUCUUUUUUUUUUUGUCUAUCCAAGUGUUGCACGGCAUUCAGAACUUCAUAGUGUAGGGUGGGUAGGUAAUUAUCAGUAAACAGUUUUUAUACAGUAUUCUGGAAGUUAUGUUUCUACAGUAUUGUAGAUAUACCAGUUGUGUUGCUGAAUAAAGAUCACAGAAAAUAUUAUGGGCUAAUAUUCCUUAGACAUGAAAGCUGAUGUAAGAUAGAUUAUUAUAGGUAACAGUUUUUUAUAAGAGUUCUGGAUGUUAUGUUUCUACAAUAUCAUAGAUGAAUUGGUUGCUUAAUAGAGGUCAUGAAGAAAACUAUUUUGGGACUAAUAUUCACACUUUAUGAACUUGAAAUGGAAAACUUUUGAGUCCAGUAUAUGCCACUUCCCUAAAUUUUGAACUACCUACUAGAAUUGUUGCUGGAAUCUAACUGGGGAUCUUAAGUCCUAUAGGAGGGCCAAUAGGAUCGGAUUGUAAAUUGCUAGAUUUAGAAAGGCAGGUUCAUUUGGAAAACUGAUAAGAAAGUGGUAGUUAGUGGAAGUUCUUAGAGCCCCUUUAUAUGCUUGAUUUAGUUCAUUAUGUUAUUGCCCUUGCUAUGGGGUGCAAACUUCUGUACUUUAUUGUGGUCCAACCUACUUCAGUAAUUGAAUUACCUAUGCUGUAUUAAUGGUAGGGAGGUAAGAAGGUUUGAAUGAAAGUAUAAAACAAUUAGGUGCCCAAUAGGCCAAAAUCCUUUCUUAGCUUGAGGAAAAAACUACUUUGUUGUGCAACCUAGUGUAUCUAUAUCCGAAGGUAUAAGUAUCUCUAUGGAUCUCUUCCAUGGAAUAUAAUGUCAUAUAAAUUUUUUAGUUAGCAUCUCUGUCCUAAAAUAUACUUUUUGCUUCAGGAUUUCAGCCUACUUCUUUAUCAUUUCAAUGACAUUUUAGGUGGGCAUCUUAACUUUUGUUCUGGACAAAUCUUAACCAUGAAAUUGACCUAACAUAAAAGUGCUCCAUACAGAUUCAUAUACAAACACAUUAGAAGGGUUUCUGUGAUACUUUUCAGAUCAUCUUGACAUUAUUUGUGACCAUUAAAUGCAUUAACUAACAUUUGGUUGCUUCCGGGUCUUUAAAUGAUUCAGGUAGUUUUGUGUACUUUUUUUCCUUCCUACUAUAUUUAUUUCUCAUUUAAGCUGUUGGAGAUUAAGUGCCAGGGGAGUGCUACUUACAUAAGCAUGGACGUGUCGUAUGAAUUAGAUGUCUUUUGGAUCAGAUGAUUGACAAUUUGAACCAUUCAAUCCGUGAAAGUAUUCAGUAAUUUUUUUAUGACCUGAAUCCUACUAAAAGAUCUUGAUGGAAAAGUUACCUUUUGGUCUGGAUCAGAAAUCUGAAUCAUGUAAGAUCAAAAUAUAUUCUAAUGAUGGGUGGUUGGAGGUUUUGAUUUAAUCCCAAUUUGUUGUUUGAUCAUCAUCUGAGAGGAAACACCUUUAGUAUUUGGCUGGAUUAAUGAAGUUUAGAAUGUAAAAAGGGAUGUUCCAUGGCUGGUGUGGCUGCUGUUGGCAGAUUUUGUUUCAGUGAUAGAGCAGUGAAUAGUGACUUCAGUUGCAGAGGAAUCUGUGUUACACUCUUUGCGACUGUGGGACGCGUUUGAGAGUUUUAUAGCAGUUUUGGUGCGAGAAAGCUUGUGUUGCAGGUUUGACGUAGGAUAUUGGAUGAUGAUAAUAAGGUGAUGAAAUAGAAGCAAGAGAAACAAGAAAAGUAAAGUUUUUUUAAAAAGUAAAGUAGAAGGCAAUAAUUGGACUAGCUCUGAAUGAUCUGACUUAAGACUGAUUCCUUUGUUCCCUAUGAAAUCUGAUUCCUCCUGCUGAUUUUAGUUCUUCCAAGGAAUGGACUUCUAGUUAACGGAGAAAUGUAGGAGAUUUUGUGGUAUUCAAGUUAUAGCCUGUUUGGCAAAAAUUUCUCAUACCAAAAUUGAAAGCUUGUAAAGAGCCAAAUAAUAUGAAUUCUUUGUUGAAGAAAUCCUUUUGCUGAUUCAGUUAUCUGUUAGGCCUGUUUGAAUAUCACUCAUUGAUAGGUGGUACUGCUAAUAUCUGUUUUGUUGACUUACGCUCAUUUUUUAGUUGUGUCAGAUGGACCAUUUGGUUAAUCAGGAGGGUGCAUGCUUCGCUGCAGUAGCUUUUGUAGUUCUUAAUUAGUUAUAUAGAUUAACCAAGGAAAUUGUCUCUAAUUAGGUAUUAAAUUAUUUUAUUGCUAAAUGAUUGGUAAGGUAGACAAUGGUGGGAAAAAUGUUGCCCAUCUCGUCUUCACUUAAAGUAUGCUGCAUUUGAGGAUUUGGGACAAGCACAAAAUAGAGUAGAAGAGAAAGAGCAGUACAGCCGCUUUUUGAAUGGAGAAUAUCCUAAGCAAUAGCAGAGUUUAUGAAUUCAAGAAGAGGAUGACUUGCAUAGCUGUCAUUAUAGGAGGGAAGGAGUAGCAGUGAUUGAAUGAAGGAUACACUAUAGCACACUCUUACCACUGCCAGUAUAGAUCGUACCUAUUUCUUGCUGUUUGGUAGUUAUGUCUAUAAUUCUACUAUCCAAUCUGGUUAAGAAUGAGAAAGGAACUGACUGGCGAUAAUAGAUAAAGAUGUCAUUUUAACUAGGGAAAACUUCAGGUACCUCCGUGGUUUACCCUUUUUUUUACUUUAGUAUUAUAUGAUUUUGAUUGUAUCACUUAAGUAUCCUGUGGUUUCUAUUUUUAUUUUUCGUUACAUCCUUCAUUAACUUCUUCGUUAAACCCGUCACGUGCCACACACGUGCAUCAGAGAUGUCUCACAAUGGUCGAUAAAAGAGGCAUGAGACUCGUUAAAAAAAGGCAUGGGGCCUUUAGGGCUUAAUCAUGACCUUCUUGGUGAGUUCCCAACGGUGAAAAAGCAACGAUCCACGACACACGUGUGCGGCACGUGAUUGUUAACGGAAAAACGAAAAUAGAAACCACAUGGUACUUAAAUAAUACAGCUAAAACCAUAGGAUCCUAAACUGAAAAGUGGUAAACCAUUGUGGCUACCCUUUUAACUAUUCUUUUGAACCCUUUUUGUGGGAUAACUUUGGUAGAUUUGUUUUACUUAAAUGAGAUUUUCUGACAGUUGAAUUACUUAAUUGCAUGACCCAAUUUUCAGCGUCAUAUUUUCCUUAUAGCAGUAAUUUUUCCAUUGAUGUGGUUGUAAUUGAUUAUCUAUUUCGUCAACUAAUCUCUCGUUUCCAAUUGAUCACUAGAUGCCUUAGAACUCUAUUCCUGGAAGAAAGCUUAAUAACCGAACACAAUGGUGAAUGGCUCCAUGAGCUUGCUACUAAUAAUUGCGUGCUGGAGAACUUGAAUUUUUACAACACAGAUCUCAAGAACAUCUCACUGCGGGACCUGGAGCUACUUGCUAGCAACUGUAGGUCAUUGGUUUCCUUGAAGAUCAACGACUCUGAUAUCUCCGAUCUAGUUGGUGUUUUUCGAGCAGCGACAGUAUUAGAAGAGUUUGGUGGGGGUUCAUUUAAUGAACAAGGAGAAGCCAAUCGGUAUGAGAGAGUAACAUUUCCUUCAAGGCUAUGCUCCUUAAGUCUUAUGUUCAUGGGUACUAACGAGAUGCCUACAAUUUUUUCACUUUGUGCUGCACUGAAGAGACUGGACCUACAAUUCACAUUCCUCAGCACGGAGGAUCAUUGCCAACUAAUUCAACGGUGUCCCAAUCUAGAAAUUCUUGAGGUAGUAUCAUCUUGAAGUCAAAACUUCCUUUUCAUGCAGUAGUUUGACUGUUCAGUGUUGUUUAUUCUUAGGAUAUAUAAUGUAUUGGUAGUAUCUAUGUCAUCCUCAUGUUUCAAAUUGAUCCCUGGUUUUUCAACUAUAUUGCAAUUCCAUCUCUUCUCGUCAAAGGGAAAAAAAAAAUCUAAGUUUUCCUGUAAAAUGACCAUUUUACCCUUCUCGAAUAACUUGCUUCUUUCAGUGUACUCAAAACAAGAUGAAAAAAGGUCAUUUUAUAGGAAAAGAGUUACACAUUGCCAGAUAUGUUUUGCAGACAUAUUUGGCAGCAAUGGGAUAGCAGUAUCUGAGAAAGCUAAAGACUUAAGAGUGUUUUAGAGAGAAGUUCAGGGACAGUUGCAUUAUCGGGCAGUACAUUUUACCCUACUCCCUUUUCCUUUUUCCUGUCUUAGUACUUGUUAUAACUCCUCAACAGGUAAGGAAUGUGAUUGGAGAUAGAGGACUAGAAGUCGUUGCACAGACGUGUAAGAAACUACGAAGGCUCAGAAUAGAGAGAGGGGAUGAUGAGCAGGGUCUCGAAGAUGAGCAAGGUAUGGUUUCACAAGUAGGCCUCUCAACUAUAGCUCUUGGCUGCCCUGAACUGGAGUACCUGGCAGUAUACGUCUCUGACAUCACCAAUGCAGCUCUUGAAUCCAUUGGAACCUUCAGUAAGAACCUUCGCGACUUUCGACUCGUCUUGCUCGAAAGAGAAGAAAGGAUUACUGAAUUACCGCUCGACAACGGAGUCCGUGCUCUAUUAAGUGGUUGCACUAAUCUCCGUAGAUUCGCUUUUUACUUGAGACCUGGAGGUCUUUCAGAUAGAGGUCUUGGUUACAUUGGAGAAUACAGCAGAAACAUAAGUUAUAUGCUGCUGGGCAAUGUUGGUGAAUCUGAUCUUGGACUGCUCCUAUUUGCGAGAGGUUGUGUAAAAUUACAGAAGUUGGAAUUAAGGGGCUGUAGCUUUAGCGAGCACGCUUUGGCACUCGCAGUAUUGCAACUGCCUUCUUUGAGAUACUUAUGGGUGCAAGGUUACAAGGCUUCCUUGACCGGCCGUGACCUACUGGCCAUGGUUCGGCCCUUUUGGAAUAUCGAAUUCAUUCCUCCGAGCCCGGAGAUUGUUGCUCAUGGGGUGGAUGAUCGGCCAGCUGGCGCAGAGAGCCAGGCUCAGAUACUUGCGUACUACUCCCUAGCUGGAAAGAGGCUAGAUUGCCCAGAAUCUGUGAUCCCUUUGUAUCCGGCAUGAGUGUACAUAAAUUAUAAGCCGUGUAUCCUGUUUGGAUCAGGUUAGCAGCGUGGCUUGUAAUAGACUGCUUUUCUUGUUUUCUGUCUCAGAAAGAGAUGCGUUGGGCCGCAAAACUCUCUAUCGGCCUCCAUGAAUAGGAAAUUGAAGCUGUAGAUUAGUUCAGUCACAAUCAGUAUAUGAUAUUGCCUUCGCUUGCAAAUCAGAUGGUGGAUAACGUGCUUCCGGAAUUGAGAUCUCCAUUGGUAGAUGUAUCGGCAAAACUCUCAGCUGGUUGCUUGCAAGCUCAACGCUAAUCCAGAAGGCUGUCUGCCAAGGGAGCUGCUGGGAUAUAUAUAUUUAUAUGGCUGGUAACUGUUUGAGUGGUACUGUACAACUGGUAACCUAUAUGACCUUGAAAUUUCUUUUCUUUUUUGGGUGUAAUAGUAUUGGCUUAGGUACAUGUUAUGUAUUACGCUCUAUCGAGAAUGAUUGGUCUUGUCUUCACAAGUUCUGUCAUCCUCACGCAAAGUUUGGCCAUAGACGACUAUUUUUGGAUUCUGUUAUGGGAAUUAUGUGGAAAUUAGAUGCUAGAGUAAUCUUUAGAGAUGCCUGUCUAUUUUUUCUCUUCUUGUGAAUAUUCUCUACCGUCAAUAAUUAUUAGCAUGAUGUAACCUCCUUCCGUUUCUUCUUGGAGUCCAUGUCAUGAUGAGAAAAAAAAGCUACAACAGCUUGAAAGUGAUGCAUAAAGAAAUCUAGUGAAGGAAGCACCAGUCACUCUUUUUAUGAUUUUACACCAUGGGUCUUCAAUUUUCAUGCUUAGCAUAAAAAGUGAUUUUUAAUGAGAUGUGUUGAAUGGUACGGUAGCAAGCAAUAUGAGAACUUGUAGAAGAAAUGAUGCGUGUUGUGUUAAGCAACUUUGUGUGCAUUUGGUGGAUCUCUAAAGCGUAUCGCUAACAUCACUCGGCUUUGCCUUGUAUUGUAAACUUGCGAAACUGUAAGCUCGUUUAUAGCUGCAAAACAAUUCAAGGAGAAUUGUUGACCAACUAUAGCAUAGGCUAGGCGCCUUAGAAACCAUCCAAUCGACGCAGGAUAGAUUUUCGGUUGAGCUUUAAUAGAGGAAGAGGGGUAUUAUUUGAGCUUUACUCAGCAAAGGAGAAUGCAAAAGAAGUAACUACAAAUGCCCUAAGGAGGCAGUUCUGAAGACCGAGAAUUCUAUUUUAUGAUAUAUAGUUUGCCGUUGGAAUGAUUGCCAACCUGCUUGGAGCCAAAUUAAACCCUAACUGUCCUCCUAAUACUGCAGAAUCUGAUUUCUCUUGCAUUUUGUCUUGCCCCUCCUUAAUGGGACGAUAAUAACCGAAGGAUCGAUCUAUGAUUUUGUACUAUGAUCGCUGGAUACGUGGUACUAUAACCUAAGUGCAGGUCACUUAAUCGAGAGUGAGAGGGGGAAGUUGCUGAUGCCCAAUAUACACACCAUGAGUUUGCGGUUUGGUGAGGUUUGGUGAUGAUGAUUUUCUCUAGUUUAGCCAAAAUUCCAAUUUUAUUGUACGUCUCACAAUGUACCUGCAGCAUUGUUGAUACAUUGACAUUCUGCUGGAGGUUUGGUCUACCUAAUAAUUGCCAAACAUGAUUUCUAAGAUGGUGUCAAUUGAGAGGCAAACCAAUUUAUCAUAUGUAAAGUGCUGAUUCACCGACAAUAUUUCAGGGUACCUUCGGAGCUGCGAGAUGCUUUUUUACUCUUCAUUUAACAAGAGUGUGAACAGUCGAGUUUCUUGUUUGUUCCAAUCGUAUCGUUGCUCAAUGAGUGCUCUAGGAUUUGAUGAAUCUCUAUUUUCACUCUGGGCCAAAUGUUUCUUCUAUUUCGGCCGAGCAUGAUGCGCUCCUACAGCGACUACAUCAUUUUAUUCCCCUCAUGGCCAAUGAACAAAGCGAGGAAUCUUGCAUCUUUUGAUUCUUGUCACACUAGUACCCUAAUUUUGGUCCAAUAAGAUGCUGUGGGCAAAGCCCAUUUAAAAAGUCUCUGGAAUUGUUUAUAUAUAGCGAGAGAGAGAGAGAGAGAGAGAGAGAGAGAUGAGUUGGAAUGCUAUUAGUAGCAAACAAACUCCACUGUCAUAUAUUUUUUUUCGAUGAUGAAACCUCAAAAUCGAUGAUUGGCGGCGUUGAAUAUAAUCUAUACUAUUUGAAGUAUCUCGAAACCAAAUUUCAAAUCUUCUCGGCAUCAUUGGCCUAAUGACCAAAAUGUUUUAAAAUUUGUAAUUUUAAUAGUCGAUAUAAGACGUUUUCUCGUUUAACGGCGCUAAGAUAUCUAAAUCAAUUAAAUUUUAGUUAGAAAAAUUUUAAAUUAUUUAAAAUAAGAUCUAUACUUUUGAUUUUGAUUACAAAACUUCUAUUAUCAUUUUUUAAAGGAUAUUCAUUUUUAACCGUUCAUUUUUGUAUCAACUUGAUGGACAAAGGAAUAAUAUCGAAAAAAUAUAAAAUUUGAUUUCUAAAUACUUCAAAUGAUAUAGAUCAUAUUCAAUGGUGCCGGCUGUCAAUUUAGGAGCUCCAUCAUCGAAAAUAAAUAGGUAAUAACGGAACCCGCUUGCUCUAUAUAUAUAUAUAUAUAUAUAUAUAUAGAGAGAGAGAGAGAGAGAGAGAGAGAGAGAGAGAGAGAGUUGGGCUAGAAUAAUAUUAAUAGUAUUUGCCCUUUUUUGGUAUCAAGUUUUUAGUUUUUGGAUCAAUUUCUUUGAUCAUUUCUAAUCAUCCGGAGUAAAUAUUAUAAUCCAUUGGGAACCACUCAACCCUAGAGGGACCACUCAAUCCUAAGAGACUAAUAUAAUUUUAACCCUACAAUUUUUUAUUCAAGGAUUAAAAAGUUAAUAGCAAAAUGAGACAAAUACUAUUAAUAGUAUUCCAGCUCGACUAUAUAUAUAUUCAAAUCAAUUAAAUUUUUGUUAGAAAAUUCUUUAAACUAUUUAAAACAAGAUCUACACUCUUGAUCUUGAUUACACGACUUCUAUCAUCAUUUUUUAAAGAAUAUUCAUUUUCAGCCGUUCAUUUUUUUGUCCACUCAAUGGAUAAGAGAACAAUAUUGAAAAUGUAGGAAAUUUAAUUUCUAAACACUUCAAGUGGUAUAAAUCAUGUUCAAUGGUGCCGAUCGUCGAUUUGAAGGCUUUAUCAUCGAAAACAAAUGGGUGGCAACUAUCAUCCUAACGACACAUCUUUUAAUCCAAAGGCAGAAAACUUAAUAGCACUAAGUCAUUGGUGCUAUUAAUAGUAUUCCAGCCUAGUUCUAUGUAAAUAAAUAUAGAGUUGAGCUAUAAUACUAUCGAUAGCAAACGGCUCCGUUGCCACCCAUUUGUUUUCGAUGAUAGAGCCUUCAAAUCGACAAUCGGCACCGUUGAAUAUGAUCUAUACCACUUGAAGUGUUUAGAAAUCAAAUUUCCUACAUUUUCGAUAUUGUUCUCUUAUCCAUCGAGUGGACACAAAAAUGAACAAUUGAAAAUGAAUAUUCUUUAAAAAAUGAUGAUAGAAGUCGUGUAAUCAAGAUCAAGAGUAUAGAUAUUGUUUUAAAUAGUUUAAAGAAUUUUAUAACAAAAUUCAAUUGAUUUGGAUAUCUUUACGCCGUUAAACGAGAAAACGCCUCAUAUCGACCAUUAAAAUUACAAAAUUUGAAACCCUUUGAUCAUUAGGUAAAUGAUGUCGAAAAUAUUUGAAAUUUGAUUUCUAAACACUUUAUGUGGUAUACAUCAUGUUCAACGGUGUCGAUCGUCGAUUUAGAGGCUCCAUCAUCGAAAAUAAAUAGGAGGCAACGGAGUCCGUUUGCUAUCGAUAGUAUUCUAGCUCAACUAUAUAUAUAUAUAUAGUUGGACUGGGCUACUAUUAGUAGCAAAAUUCCAUUGUUGCUACCAGUUUUUUAGCCUUUGGAUUAAUUCUUUUCAUUAUUUCUAACCAUUGAAUUAAAUACUAUAGCCCAGUAGGGACCACUCAACCCUAGGGGGACCACUCAUCUCUAACCGACUAAUAUCAUCCUGACCCUAUAAUUUUUCAUCCAAUGGUUAAAAACUUGAUAGCAAAAAGAGCGUUUUACUAUUAAUAGUAUUCCAGCUUAAUUAUAUAUAUAUAUAUAUAUAUAUAUAUAUAUUUGGUGUAGUAGUAAUAAUAAUAAUAAUUAUUAUAUUAUUAUUAAAUAUAAAGGGAGGGACAUGAUGUGUCAAAAGCAUAAAGGUGUUAAGACCAUGUAUGUGGUCGUAAUCACUAGAACGGGCAGUGAAAAGAUUCAAGGAGUAGAAUAAAGUAGAAGCCGGUGCUCUUGCUUUCACCAACUUGCAGCAAAAGGGUGCGGCAUCUUUCUGAAAGGGCAAAAGCCAGAGGAAGUGGGUGCUUCUGUCAUUUACUUGGGGAAAAGGCAUUUAACAGAGGCGACCACUUUGCUCAUGUUGCAAUUGCAUCAUUCUUUCCAUUUCCCAAUCCAUGGGCCGCAUAUAAUUCGCUAGUGACUUUUGCACCAAAGCCACCUAGCUUAAAAAAUAAAAAAAAAAAACCCUUCAAUUAUGUUUUUAUCUUCUUUUUUUUUUUCUUUUUGUGUCUUUGUUUAAAUAAUUCUCUCAAAGUCGACAUGUUAUUAUAGUAUAACCGAACAUCACAACAACGAGUCCGGAAAAAAAAGAAAAAAGAAAAAAAAAAAAGGAGAGUGAUUUUGCUGUAUCACCUCUGAAGUCCAGUUCCCAUGCUAAAGCAAGCCGGCGAGUACAUAACAUCGAACUAAUUUGUGGCAUAAUAAAGACAAGCAUGCAUGUUGUCGCCCUAUGCCUAAUCGUAUAUUUUAUUUACUUGCCGCAACCACAGGAAAGCAGUAUUUAUAAUGUGGCGCACACAGUUUAUUAUUAUGCAUCUAAGGGUACAUUAAUUUCUUGCGGAGGAGGAACCAAUAAAGGAGAAUAAAGAUUGAGGCAUGUGAUGCUGGGAAAGUGGAACUCCGACACAUCUUCGAUUAUUUCUUUUCUUUUUGAACUAAUGCUCAUCGUCAAAUCGAAUCCUACAGGAAUUCGAAGCAUCUUAAGCUAAAUAUGCAGGAGAAAACUAGCUAGACACCGAAUUUUGCACAAAAUUAAUGCGAAAGAUGCCAUUUGACUCUGAUCGAAAGGAAAGGAAAGCAUCUAACACAAUGAACCACUGGCUGCGAAACGAAUAAUUGAACAUAACAUAACGAAAAUGAAAUAUACAAAGACAGAAAUAUCCAUACGUCGAUGUUUUAUUUGAUUAAGGGAAAGCACGGUAUGAAUAUUACAAGUACACAGAAAUGACGCGAGGGUCAACGAGCCAUGACCGCUGCAAAUAAGUAUACUUAUGAAGUAAGAUUUGAUAUAAACAGCUAAUAAGUCAAUCCGUCAACUUUUCAGCUCUCCAGGAGGCAGGAACAGCUCUCGACACAAAUCAAGUUCAAAUAUCUGGAGGAAGCUGAAAGACAAUGACUACUACUAUGGCUCCUCAAUUCGAUCACCGAGAAGAGUACACUACGGAAAUACGCAUAUUUUUUCUCAGAGUCCGGCCAGUAUACCUAAUCAUUUACGGCGGCGGAUGGAAACCCUUCAUAAGAGCUUUGAACUCGGUAUCAUUACGAUCGCAUUGCGAGUAUAGGAGUCACCGACCGAACCCAAACUUCAGCUUUGCUGCAUACUCUCAAGUCCUGUAUUGAUAGAAUCGGAUAUUAUUUACAACGGCAAAGAUCUAAGAUAGAUAACCAUUUUUUGAACCCUUAACAUAGCAAGAAGUUUCUGAAUGCGCAAUCGACCUUCUUGCAUGUGUAGAACAUGAUGCUAACACAUUCUGUGCUCUUUCGUUCGGAGAUCAUCAACAGCAAAUCUCAAUUUGUUGAUUUCAAUAAGCGCGACUCAUCUGCCCCUCGUGCAUCCAUAGCGCGGUCAUCGAAAUGGUUGAACCUGAAACAGCACGCUCUGGCGAUUAGCCGCGGCAUCACGGGGAGGGGUGCUGUACGAACUUUCUCUCGCAAUCUUCACCGUGCCGUAAGGAGCCGCACCAAGAGGUGAUUGCACGAACUGAAAAGGAUGCUGUUCCGACAGUUUGAACGCGCUAGCCGCUUCGUUAGGCCGACUCGGAUCGAGCACGGCCGAGUAUUGGUCGGACAACGGAGAGGCGGCAGCGUUACCAGUACUAGGCUGCGGAGUAAGCAUCGACAAUGACGACGACGACUGCGACGGCGAGGGAGGACGAUCGUCCGGCAAAUUGACGGUCGUGAUGUCAUGUAUGCUGGACCUUCUCUUAUCUUUGCCGCCGGAAUUAAGCCUGUUGUAGUACUUCUGCGCAUGGCUAGCCACUUGCGUGGGAUUUCUCGUGAAGACGAAGUUCCGGGAUAUGUUUCUCCAAUCUCCUUUACCGUGUUUCUUCAGGCCCAUUAGAAACCGCCUGAAAUAUAUUGGAAGCACAAAUUACUCAUUUUUUUUUUUUCUUUUUUUUCAGAGAGGUCAUCAUCUGAACCUACCAUGCAUGUAUUUAAUUAACGGGAGGGGGAGGAGGAUUAAUCGAUCACUGGUAGGGCACAAGAGUAAGAACGAAGAACAGAUAGCAUAAAUAGACCGCAAAUAUUAGACAACGGCAAUUGGCAGGAGAGAAGAAGACCAAUUAAAUUAAUCGGCGGCGUACAAAAGAAAAAGGAAAUGAAAAUUAGGAAAAUGCAUUAUUAAUUAGAGAAAUGUAAGAUAGUACUUGUGCUCCUCUUCGGUCCAAGGGACCCCCUUCUUCCUCUCCUGAUCUGACGAUCCUCUGGGGCCGGAUCUCUUGCCGGUGCCGGUGCCGGUGCCGGUGCCGACGCAGCAAUAGGAAUGGUUGGUGCGAGCGCCGCCCUCCCAGUCGAGGACGAAGCUGGAGGAGGAAUCGUAGUGGGGGAAUGGGAUCAGCCCUGCUUCGAUGUAGCUGACGUCGUUCUCCAAUUCCUGGUACUGGCUGAUCACGUCCGCCACCGUCUUUCCGGGGAUCAUCUCCGCCACCCUCUCCCACCGGUCCGGCCGGUCGCCGUCGAUGCGCGCCAGCGCCUCCUCGAACACCUUGUUCUCCUCCGGGCUCCAAUCGUUCCCUUUCCCCCUCCCUUCCCCUUUCCCCAUCCCCAUCCCCAUCCCCAUCCCCAUCUCGGAGAGGAACAAGCUCGACGCGGGGAAGCACGACGCCGCCGCCGGAGGAAGCACUUCCAUCCACGCCUCUUGCAUCAUCAUCUUUACUCAGAGAUCGAGAUCGAGAUCGAGAUCGAGCCCAAACCCACAGAGGGGGGGAUUGAUUCUCAAAACAGCGAGCGUAGAGUAGAAGCAAGCCACAUGCUAAUACCCAUUAAAAGCCGCGGCAGAUCUAGGAGAGUGGAGGAGGGAUCCAGGAAACGAAUAAAACCUUAAUUAAUACUUAAUUAUUAGGGGAUAAAGGACCCAAGUUGAGAUCUUUAAGUUUUCCUUGCUUUGUACACAAGAGUAGUAUGAAGGGAUAGAGUAGAUAGUAUACAGCAAAGAGAGGAUAAUUAAUAGAGAAAUUUUGUUUUUAUUAAGAGACGAAGAAGAAGAAGAAGAGCAGAAAGAGAGAGAGAGAGAGAGAGAGAGAGAGAGAGAGAGAGAGAGAGAGAGAGAGAGGAGGCUACAAACUUAUUAAAGUUAAGACAUAUCUACUACUACUCCCCCUUUCUCUCUCUCACCCUAUAUAUAUAUAUAUAUAUAUAUAUAUAUAUAUUUAUUUAUUUAUUUAUUUAUAUAUUUAUAUACUUUAUUUCCCUUUUUUUUAUUACAUUGUUUGGGAUCUAAAGGACGACUCGCGUGGCGGUUUCUGAUUGGGUCGUGAUGGAGUUUGUGGUCUUUUUUUUUUUAUGCCACUCAAACCUCACAAGUGCUUUUUCUCUCUGCUUCUCUGUAAUGAAAUAGACAGGCUGGAGAAAUUUUUUAAAAAAAAAAGAAAAAAAAGNAAAUACUUAAUACGUAUAAUUUUUUAUUAUUAAAAUUAUUUUUUAAUUAAUUUUAUUUUUUUAAUUAUGUUAUUUAACUAAUCACCCACUUAAGAUCAUUAUUAUUCUAAUUCUCUAAAUUUUCAUCAAAAAAUCGAAAAAUUACGAGCACUAAUAACUUUAAUUCAGCUAAUAAUAUUUUUUUUAAUAUAAAUACUUUUUUUAGAUUGUCGAGUACUCGUACUCACCAAAAUUUAUUACUUAAAAUAGUAAAGUGUGUACUUAUAAGCUAACAUUGCUUUUUAAAAAAUAUAUAAUCUUUAUUGUUUAGGUAAUUUUUAGAAAGUCUUUAUAUUUAUCGAAAUUUACCACUUUGAUACCACUGUGUAGUAUGAAUAUUUCGCCCUCCAAUUUGUUCCUCUCUUAAAAAACUUUGGUUGAUAUAAGUUAGGCUAAGAGAGUACAAUUAAAAAAUAAAUAAUUAUUUUUUUGGCUUGCAAACUGCUAUUUCAUACAUUAUGCAGGUUUUUGUUUCAAAUAUUUAUUAUAUAUAAAUAAGAAGUUAAAAAAUUCAGUUUGAUAAACAUUCUCGGCUCUUCAUGUUAUGUUAUAAAUCAUAUACAAUGCGAAAAAGUCUAAAAUACAUCAGUUAUAUUGCUGAUGUGGCGUCUCUAACUAAUCAUAUUCAUUUCUUUGAAUUUAUCUAUCCCAUCAUAGAUAUUAGAAAAAAAAAUUUAUUAUAUUUUACUGAUCUCGAAAAAAAAAAAUAUAAUUGGCUGAAAAUAAAUAAUAUAGUAUAAAUGUGACAAUAUAGAUUUUUUCGUACAAUACACCUUAUAACUACGAAUGUACUAAUUCCUCCUUUAUGUGCUCCUUGGAAUCUCUACGAGCAAUUUGGCCUAUAGUGCGAACAAUAUACGCAAAUGGUAGUGCUGAAGAAAAAAAAGGACAAAAUAUGUACGGGGAAAUAAUUGGUGGAAAAGAAUCCUAAAACACCUAAUAAUUACAUAAAAGAACCUGGAAGCUGAUUGAUUGCACUACAAGUGUCCUAGCUUGAGAGACUUUAUUUUUUAUAUUUAUUAUUUGAUGUUAAAUUAUUAUUUUCGUUUAUUUAUAUUCCUUAUAUUUAUUUAUCUUUCCUUCUCUAUAACAAUAUAUAAUAUAUAUUUUGGCAUUUUAUCUAUUUGCAAAUUAAAAUGGUAAACUAAGGAUAAAUGAAUUUAUAAUAUACAAAUAUACAAAUAAACUAGGUAUAAAUAAUAAUUCUUAUUAUAGAAUAAAAGUUAUAUUAAAAUACUAUAAAAAAUAAAAAAUUUGUUGAUAGUUUAGAACCUUUAGUAUCAAAUUUUACAUAUAAUUGAUAUUUUUUAAAAACAAAACAAAGUAUAAUAAUAGAGUCAAAUGAGAACCUUUUUUUACUUUGCACUUUCAUUUUAAGCUUUUCUUCUUUUUUUUUUUUUUUUUUUUUUUUUUUUCUAGUAUAGACGAACUCCUCAACGACGCCUUAUUGAAAACUUAUAAGUUUUGUCUCUAUUCAAAUAUAAAAAAAAAAAUUUCUAAAAUUUAAAAAUACUUUAAAUUUUAAUAUUAAAAUAUUUAAUAAAAUUUUAAAUUUUAAAAAUUAAUACGUGACGUCGGAUUGUUGGCGAUAAUCAUUAAUCCAAAAAAUUCAACCAAUUCACUUAAAGCAUAUAAAUACAGCGUUCACGGAUCUCGAUUGUAACUCCAUCGAACCAGCCUUAUAUCAUUUUGAACAUAACUCUGUCUCAUCCGACUUUUAUAAAUGUUAGUCGAUCUAAUUUGACCUCCGGAUAUGGGACAGAAUAGUAGUCUUUAAUUUUUUAAAAUUAAUAUAUGACAGGGAACCAAAAGUCUCCACGCAAGCUUCCUACUGAAGUUUUUUCCGACCCCACGGAGACUGUUCGCAGUGUAGAUCCCCACGCUGCGGUCCCCACCGUUUGAUGCGACCAACAACCACCCCCCACCUCUCUCUCUCUCUCUCUCUCUCUCUCUCUCUCUCUCUCUCUCUCUUUCUUUAUCGGUGUCGUUACCGUUGUGUGCUGUCAUCGCUCAUUCCAAUGCUCAGUUAUUUCGUUUAACGUGCCUACGUGUCGAUUUCGCAUUGAACCCCCUAAUACGAGAAGUUAGCGUGAAUUAAUUAGUUAGUUAAUUAAUUAAAACAAAAAAUUGACUAUAUAUGAUCAUUAAUGGGGAAAAAGAAACUGAAAAAAGAACAUUGACGGUGCCACUUAAUUAACAAUUGGUGGCCUUUUCACUCUUUUAGGGACAAAUUAUUUAGAUAGAUGGGGCCUAAUUUUUCAGAGCAUUUAAAGUGUAACACGUGGAUUUCUACACUAACCACAUUAUUAAUUCUACUCCGAAAAAAAAAAAAAAAGAAGAAAGAAAGUCUAUUAAUUAUUCAAUCAAUUCAGAAUGGUUAACACGUAAUGGAGUGAGCUCAUUUUCUAACACGUUUUAGAGGUGCAAAGUGACACUAUCACAUUAAUUUUGAGGUCAAAUUUAUUUAGAAUAAGUCAUUAGAGUUGGUAAUUUUAAGUACCAAGUUCGAAAUCUUAAAAUGGAAUCUCCACUUUUGGGUUGGGAGGAUACAGAUAAGUCUACAGGCGUUGUCACCUUCAAAAGAAAAAAGAGAGAGAGAGAGAGAGAGAAACACAACAUAUACAUUAUGUGAACUUAAGCAACUUAAUCAACAUUUUUUAGAUGCUAUAUAUUUUUUUCUCUAAUAACUUAUUUGUUUGUCUUUCCUGAGGGGGAGUAUGGUUGGAGACCUAUGAUUGGUUCCUUUUCUAUCAGCCUCUAUUUCUUCUACACAAGUUUUUUUUUUUUUUUUUUUUUUUUUUUUUUUUUUUUUUUUUCUGGCAAUAAAUUCUCAAAUUAAGAGGUCAACUGGUGGAAUCCCCAUUAAUGUUUGGUGUCCAUAAUCCAGCUAUAUGAUUCGUUCCUAACACAAUAUAAUGGCUUCGGAGUCAGAUACACUAUGCGCUGUAAAUUCAUUGUAACUUUGUACUUUGAAAUAGUAGAAGCAUAUUUAUUUAUAUAUAUCACUGAUCAGAUGAAUUGUAUCUAAUCUUUUCUUAUAGUAUCUUCUAUAAAAAUCUCUUCAGAGAGUAAUCGCUCAUCGAAAAUUGCCAUGUGAUUGCUUAAAAACUUCAUUUGAUGUUUAUGUCAUUAGCAAGAUCUCUUCGAAAUGUAACCCAUAGUAGUUGUCACUUUGUAUCAAAUUGCUAGCGUUUUCUUUCUUAGUAAUUAUUUCUCACAUUCAGUACCUCUAAUGCAUAAUAACUGAAAAUUUGAUUUCGUGCUCAUUAUAUCUGAACUGUCUCAGUACCUCUACAUGUGAUUUAAUUGUCUCUAAAUUUUUUGAAAUAAUGUAAUAGCUAAAUAUAAUUUUUUCUAACUAAAAUUUUAAAAGAAUUUGAUGAUAGGUAUCCGAGAUCUCAAGUUCGAAACCUAAUUACUUCACAUUUUCAGCUAAAUUUAUUUCUAAAAAAUAAACGAAGCGAAUAGCAUGCUACCUUUCUUUCUACAUAAAAAUAAUAAUAAUAUAAAAGUACCAAGGCAAAAGCAACAACAUAAAAAUUAGAUAGCUGGGCGAAUUCAUUCUCGAACAAGGGACUCAGCUACCAAAGUUGCCAAAGGCCAUAGACUGUGGACCAUUACAUUAUUUAGAGCAAUAAUUAAUAUAAAAAAUAGCCCACCGAAUGAUAGGUGCACAGUGAUCAGGGGCGCUCCUUUCCUCCGGUAUAUAUCCAACCCUGCAUGUUCAGCCUAACUUUUAGAGCAAUUUUAUUUGUUUUCUAGUAAAAUAAUAAUUUUUUUUUUUUUUUGCUGCAUGAGGAAGUUAAAAAUAAUUUUUCUAAAUUCCAAAUAAAUCGUUUGAAUUUGAAGCUUCCCAUCUUGAUACAAAGGAGUUAAUAGCUAUUUGGAUAUUGCGUAUAUUAAUUGUUGGUGCCUUUUUUUUGGUCUAGCUAGUUUUUGAAUGCAUGCAAUCUGCUUGUUCUGUCCGAGGACAGAAAUACUUAAAAGUGUUUAAAAAGUUUUGUCGUUAAUUUAUCAUUAUAAGAUAGUCGUGGAAAGGCUUCUCAGUAUAUGAUAAUUUUACCGUCUACCGUAUGUAUAAAGUUCCAAGAUAUAUUUAGGAUGCGCGCCCUCUUAAAUAUUAAACUGCAUGGGUACCAACCACCAAGUCCUCUGCCAUUUGCUUUAGGAACGGUCGGUUGAAUAAGGAAUUCAUAUACCAUGCUUGAAUAAGCAAUUUAAAUAUUAUUUUGUUGCAGAAGCAUCGAUCAGCUGGCACAGGCAGUCCAGUUUUUAAUUUAUUUGCGUAAAUGCUAAUGCAAGAGCCAACACCCCAUCUGCUCUCAACCACUGCUGUCGAUGUAGUGCCUCCAAAGCCAUGAUCACUAUUGCCCACUUAAUAUCAAAACAACAUGUCAACCCUCCAUUAAGCCAGGAGGAAAGUACAUCACAUCAAACAAAGUAAAAUUAUAACCCAAAGGAGAAGAUUCACCCCCCCCCCCCCCCCUUGGGGUACUUUGGGGGUGAAUAGGCACUAGCUAGCAUUUUAUGGCCACUAAUUAAUAGACCCAAAGUGGGAAUGCAUGGGAUGGUGCUUUAAUUUGGUGCAAGAGAUUCCAUUGCCCCUUGGCUUUGUGAUAUUUAUGAUCGAGGGGGGAGACCACCACUGCUAUCAGUAUAUUCAGCACCAUUAGGAAGGGGGAUCCGAGGAGUAGGGGGCCAUACACCCUUUAUUUUCAUCUCAGUUAUAUUAUUAGGUAUAUAUGGUGGUACCCUCUCUAUGGGAAUGGUGCGUGUGGAAAUUAUCGCGUGGACAUGGUCCACCAAAUCCUCCAUCUCAGUUGCACACAGCCUUAUUCAACUUUAAAAGCUACUUAUCUAACGAAGUAAAGUUUGAGAGAAAGGAUGGGGGAAAGUCUUCUAUGCGCCACUUGUUUCACAUAGUAUAAUGGCAUCCAAUCAAACAAUGCCAUCUUAAAAACACAUAAACAAGUUUGUUUGUUUUUUUUUUUUUUUUUUACAUAUUUUCAAGUUAAAAUUGGCAUAUUGCUCCUGAUUUGAUCUCUAUUAUCACAGGUGGUUUGAUGAGAUUGCUCAGGUGCAGAUCUCAUAAUAUGUGUCAGAAACAUUUAAGAAAAGCUACUGAUAAUAAGGGCCGAUCACUGCACGGUCCAUGGAUGACAUGUAUGGACCGUGUCCAUGCAAGUACUUCUCCCAAGUGUGGGGUUGUUGCCUACUUGCCUCUUUGUGGAAAGGUGCAUGCAUCAUGCAUGUCCUCUCUUAGAUCUCUCUCUAUGAUUUCCCCCACUGGCCACUCCAAAGGACAUAGCCUGGGCCAAAGGAUAAAAAAAUAAAAACCUUAUUGCUCCUUUAUGAAAGGUUGAUGGAGCCUUUUUUUUUUUUUUAUAUUGGAUUGCUCACCAAUGAGCUCUGAGAACAGCUCAGCUGCGAACUAUUUUGUACUGUAGUUUAUUGUUGUCACGAUAGCACAGAUUCUUCUCACUUUUAUUUUAUGCUUUUUAAAAUUUAAAAUCCUACAUUACCACUGUGAGCGUGAUGGGGCCUCGAUCGAUCACGCAGAUUCAACGGCCUCGAUUUGCUGUUUGGGGUUGCAAAUAUAAUUGGGUCUAAUAUAAACUGGCCGUGAACACAGAUACACGGCCCAACUAUUUGUAUAGUACCAAUUCAUAUUUCGGGCUGCCCAUCAUGCCCACUAAGAGCCUACCAGUGAGUGGGGAAGCUGCAGCUGACACUAUAAUAAGGCCAUGUCGCUCGCUCAUUUUUUUUUUUAAGAUGUCUAUAAAUCACACACACGCACGUACAUAUUUUAUUGAAAUAAAAAUAAAAAUUAUUUAUAAUGACUAGAGAAAGGGUACCAACUAAUUAUUAUCCUAGUUAGUUAGUCGUGGUGACACCAAAAUAUAUAGGAUACAGUGAGUGAACUUGCUAGUCAUUAUUAAAUUGACCUUUUCCUUUUGUCGGAUUCAAACCUGAUUUGAAUCAAGCCCACUAAUUAACACUGUUGCAACCAAACUUUCCCUAGCAAAGUACAAUUCCUGUCUAUAUAUGGUCCGCUGGGGAUCCUUAUCGCUUAUCCGCUCUAUCAACUCAAAUCUUAAAACAGCAGAUACGGCAGUAAUUUUCUUCUCACUUGUGAGGUGCUUCUCAUAUGCAUGUACAGAACAAAAUUGUAACUACUAACCGUUACAACUCUUCAAAAUUACUUCAAACAGCAUUAAUUUUCCAGUGAGAACAACAAUUCACUUAUUUUCAUGUACAUGAGAUUUCCAUGUUACCAAAAGAAAGAAGCAAAAAUAUAUAGAAAAGCACUCCCAAGAAACAACAAAACGAACAAAACGGAAACCCUAACUCCUCACGCAGUCACAAACCCUCUCUCUUCGCGCAUAUGGAUGCAAAUCCAACGACGCCCCUUCUGGUCAUUGGGUCUCCUCCUUUUUCCUUCGAACGAAGAGGGCGUUAUUAAUCUUCGGUCUCGAUUACGUUAAUUCGAUCCUAGCGUAUGUAUAUUUAGCACGCAGGGAGAUCCUUUGGAGGUAGUAUCAGAGACUCAUUGGGACCCUUUCCAUUGUCCACCAAGAACGCCAUUUUUAGUCCCCACGUUGUGUGCACCUCCAAGUGACAGUGCAAGAACCAAACCCCUACAUGCACCAACUCAGAACGUUGAUUAAUUAUAAACAUGUAUUCCACAAAACUGCAUAACGUUAUACGUCUCGAACCAUACUAUAUAGUAUUUGAAAUAAAUAUCUGAACUUCAAAUAUUUUGAUCUUAUUAGUAUAUAUAUUUAUUUCAACUUUGUACAAGUAUGUUAAUGACAAUUUCAGCUUUUUCAGAAAUAUAUAAUUCACUAAAAUAACUUUCUGAUUUUUUUUUUUUUUUUUUGGGGGGGGGCAAAGUUCGGACUUUUAAAUCUUAAUAACACAGUUCAUGUUGUGCUAUUAUAUGGACACGAACUAUAUAUGCAUUUUAUUUUCACUUAUAUAUCAUUAAGGAAAUUAAUGUCUCAUCCAAUAUUAAUUAAAACCAUUUAAAAAAGUUUUAUUACGUACGUACGUAGUUAUGUGCGUACGUACCUGGAUUAUCUGCGACAAAUCUAAUGGCCGUCCAUCCCCCGGAAGGAACUCCGAUAGUGUUGCGCUCGAUCGGAUCAACAAGAUUAAACUUGUUCGGAGAUGUUUUAGGAUUAAAAUUUCCAAGGCCCCUCCCCACAGCGAAAAAAUUGAACCCAUGAAGGUGAAUAGGAUGGUUCUCCGGCGCAAUUAUCCCCGUAUCCUGUAAAAUCAAUUGCACCGUUGCAUUAUACGGUAAUCUGUACACCCUCGUCCCGUUCAUGGUUUGCAGGUUCUUCGGCCCACUCCCCGUGUAGUUAAAGGUGAAUGGCGGGUUCCCGGGAAAGUCGUCGGUGAACACCCCGCUGAUGUUGUAGUAGUGUGCUUGCAGGAUCGCCGUCGGCGGCAUCACAAAGCUCACAUUGUUGACAUCAGCCACGACCCUGCUCCCGUUGACGCACGUCGGGCACGGGUUCACCCCGACCCCAACGGUGAAUAGUAGAGAGUGGUCCACCUUCAGCGGGACUUUGGCCGGGUAUUGUUUCGAGUUGAGGCUGCGGAGGGAGUCGAUGAAGCUCGACGCGACGGGCGUGGCGUUUAGCGGUGGCGGCUUCGUGGUGGUGAGGGCGGCGGAGGCGGAGACGGUGUUGGCAUAGUGUAGCGUGGCAGUGGCCGUCAUGUUGUCGACGGCGAUGGGGGAGUCCAUGAAUGGUGAUGCGGUGACUAGGUAGCGGCCCGCGCCUUGGUCGGCGGGGAGGAGGACGUUGGUGGUCUGGCCCGGGGUGAUGAGGAUCGUGUCGGUCGUGAACGGCUUCGUGUAGAUGGCGUCGACUUCAACGACGGUGAGUUUGUGGCCGGCGACCUUGAAGAAGAGCUCCUCAUUGAGAGCAGCGUUGAUGAUCCGGAGCAUGUAGGUCUUGCCGCUCUCCACUUGUAGCUUAUAUCCAUCUGUGUGCAUGGACAGUACUCUUUAUUGUUUUAACAUACGUACGUACGUAUUUUUGAUGUUUAAUUAAUUAAUUAGAAGGUCAUGAAGGAAACUUAAUUCUAUCGAAUUGCUUUAGUGUAUAUAUAUAUGUACCUUGGGAAGAAGAAGCACACGUAGAGAGAGGGCCCGGAUGGCCGUUGAUGGUGUGGCAAUCAGAGAUGUUGGGCGGCAGCCCGGCUUGCAUCGCCUGAUUGAUCACUGCCUCAGUAUCUGAUUUCCACCAUUCUCCUGCAAUUUUAAUUACUCGUAUAUAAAAUUAGUACCAUAAACAAACAUAUUCGAUCGAGCCCUGCUUCGUGCUGCUACAGAGUAUAUAUAUUAAUUACUCUUUGCUACACUAGUGUUGGCCAUGCAAGCAGUACCCUUUUUUGUUUUUUGGUUUUUUUUUUUUUUUGGGCUUAAUUUGUGCUGCACCAGAAGCUAUAGAUUUAUUUUGCCUUUUGUUUUCUCAUUGCUAGAUAAUCUAUUAAGAACUGCUCCUGAAUGCUAAAAUUAGGGGGGGGNGGGGGGGGGGGGACACAAAUCAAGCAAAAAUAGGCUCUUAUUUGUUAGAAUUUAGCGAAUGACUAAAAUUCUUGAUCAACAGAGAAACAAUAUUACCACAUGACGUACCUAAGAUGACGACAAGCUCCUUAUGGGGAGCAGGGAAGGGGUAGGGAACCCGAAGUUUGGGUAGGAUGACAAUGGCGCCGUGAACCGUGACCCUCAACCAUAGGAUGUGAGCGUGCCAAAGGAGCGUGCCGCGUUGCCCGGUCAGGGUGAAGUUGUACACAAAAUUUUGUCCCGGUUGGAUCGGGCACUGUGUUACGUACGCCGGACCAUCGUACCACCCCGUACGUAGCUGCCUCACACCAUGCCUACAGUGAACAAAGUAUACUCUCUUUAAAGAGCUUACUAUAAUAUUAUUAUUUAAGAUGCAUGUAAUAUUAUUUAAUAAAAUAUUAUCUAAAAUAAAAAUUAUUAUAUUAAAACAUUUUUUAAUAAUUUUUUUUAUUUAUAAGCUAGCUAAGACUGACCUACUCUUUUCAAUGGAUGUCAUGUUGAUGUAUUGUACUUUUUAGAUCUAUGAUUGAUUGCACAAAUGAUUAUUGACUUUGCUUAGAAAGUGUGCAAAAUGAUGGAAUUAAUUAAUUAUUUGUUGUUUGUUUGUCCAGAUGUUGUUAGCAAUAUUGUUGAUGCUGAUGAGGAGUUAAUUAUGAGAUACACGGAUGUGGGCUACGCACCAGUGGAUGGUAACGUUGUACUUCACAUGAUUAACGACCUUGACCAGCACGUUGUCGCCUUCUCUCGCGUAGAGGGUCGGGCCCGGGAACUCGCCGUUCACCGUGACUAUCGGCUUGGUCGAGCACAACCGAGUCAUGUUCCUCAUCACCACCUGCAUCCACGACCAACUAAUUACUGAUUAACUCGUUUUAAGUCAAAAAAUACUUGCUAUAUAUUAAGUUACUACCCCAAUCUUAAUUAAUUAAGGUUGUAACAAAGUUAUUGCAACUCUAUCACUUGUAAAGCACGCAUAUAUGAUCGAUAGAUAGAUAGAUAGAUAGAUAAUUAUUUUUUCUACACAUGUCAAGCACUCACAUUGAACUUGUAGUGACGGGUCCUCGCAUCGACAAGCAAGGGAAACAUGCAAAUCACUAACACCAAAGCACGAACCCAUGAGUACUCCAUUUUCCUUAAUCUCUCUUUCUUAAUUUCUCUUCUCUCUCCCUCCCGAUCUACUUCUCCAACUCUUAGCACGGUAGGAUAAUAUGUUUCUGCAUGCAUGGAAUAAACUAUCUAGGCAACGCAUCCUUAUAAUGGGGAGAACAAUUUAGAUGCCAAGUCGUUUUUAAUUUUAGGUAGGGGAGCCUUACUGAACAAGGAUUUGGUAGAAUAACCGCACACUAUACCUCUAGAUUACUUGAAUCCCACAUAAAGCUCAUAUAUCCCCCAAAAGGGAAUUAUAAAAUUGAUCCGAAACCUGCUUCCAUAAGCGCAAUGUCUCUUUCCCUCCGUUAAUAGGUGGCUUCGUACAGCUGAGAUUAAGCCAUCGCAUUACUGUGAAAUGACAAGGGCGCUUAUAUUUACAUGAUUAAUUGAAUUAUUCUAGACGAGUUCUAAAAUAUCUAAUUCACCCACAGUAACCCAGCUAUUUAAUUAGUUAUAAAUGAUGUUUGAGUUAAUGUACAUGGUAUAAUUAGCACGGCUUUAGUGUGAGUUGAGAAAACAACAACAAAACCAAAAAAAUCAACCCACAUCAAUUCUUACACAGUAGAUACAUGUUGCUACCCUUUUCUUGCGUAAUCACAAGAAUUUAAACACUACAAGCAAAAAAAAAAGAAGAAAAAGUCACAAACUUACUUUUCACACGUGAAUGUGAAAGCACAAGUAGUUCUAUAUAUGUUGGUCCAAAUUUAAAUUUAUUGAAGAUAUAAUUAUUAAUUUGAAUGAUGGCAUAUUGGUUUUUUUUUUUUUUUUUUAGAGAUAGGUAGCACGCUACCCGCUUCAUUUAUUUUAUUUAGAAAUAAACUUAGCUGAAAAUGUGAAUCAACUAUGAUUCGAACUUGGGUUUCGAAUACCAACUAUCAAGCUUUUUUGCCACUUACGCUAGGAACGGUCGGUGCAUAUUGGUUAAUUAAGGCCAAAAAUACGUACCUUAUGGUAGUUAUCAGGCCCCUAGCUAUAUCCGUAAGGCUCGUCCCAAACACAAAACCGACAUUAAAAUAAGCAAUCUGAAAAUAUUACUAAGAGAAACUUGUAUAAUUGAUAUAAUACCAAACCAUGUCUAACCCAAAAAGGACAAAAUAUAGUCUGAUUAAUUAAUUAUCAUGUAAAUUAUAUUGUAGAUAUCGUAAGUCAAGUUAUAAAUCUGUAGAUACGUAUUUUAAGUUGACAUGCACAGAGCUAUUGAACACAAACACGACCCACCAAUCUGAAUUUGUAAUUUGGGUAGGACAUCAAAUAGGCCAUCUAUGAAGCAAAUAGUUAAUUAGUUAAAUUUUUUCUCCUUUAUUUUUUGUUGAAACUAGUUGAUUAGUUGAGUUCAUGAUGAUCAAAACUAUGGGUUGGAAUUAAUCUGGCUUCUGAUAGCUGUCGCAGUAGUGCAUGUUAAAAUAUGGGUGAGAAGUGCUUUUCGACGGUAGAGUGGAUAGGCUACUUCCCUGGUUUGAAAACCAAGCUACCGAGACGGUAGCAGCUCUACUUCAACCCCGUAGUGCGCGUACUUCACUGCUUUUGUCAAAUGGGCCAACCCAGCUUGGCUUUGGAUCACCGAACCUUUCUAGCACAAAUGGUAAAAAAUUAAAUAUUUGGUACUCAAAAUUUUAAGUUCAAAUUCUAAUUAUUUUAUAUUUUUAAUUAAGCUUACUUUUAAAAGAUGAAUAAAGCGAAUACGAUGCUACUUAUCACUCAAAAGAAAAAGAAAAAACACUUGGGUUCGGAUUGGGUAAAGUUGUAUAUAAAACCCUAUUAAUUCAUGAACCCGAUCUGUAGGCUUUCAGGAACAUACAUAUGUUCCCGUUUGAAGCGUGACUUCAUCGCAAGAGAUUUUGUUUGUAAUUGAGAGUAAGCUAACAAUUGAUCUAUUGAUGACUAAUAAUCUGUCCCAAACAUGAAAAAACUAAAACCCCCCAUGUUGUCUUAAACGUGAAAGUUGUGAGUUAGAAAUGGUGGGUCAGAGCUUUAGAAAAUUCUAGGAUACUUUCCAAUAAAUCUAAUAAGUGAUUCUUAAGAACUGGGCCAUUGGUAAAUUUAAUUUGUGUGCUAGCUCGCUACAUAUAUAUAUAUAUAUAUAUAGUUGGGUUAGAAUACUCUUAAUACAAGUAUUCGGGCUUCAGUAUUAUUGAAUAAUUUUCGAUGAUAGGAUAUUUGAAUCAACUAUCCACGCCGUUCAAGUUGAUAUAGAAUAUUUAAAUCUUAUAAAAAAAGCUUCAUUAGUUUUUGAAAUCAUUUUCUAGCUCACAAAGCAGCCACAAAAUGAAAAUAAAUAGGCCUCUAAAAAUCUAUGAUACAACUCUCAAAUUCAUGAUCAAUAUUAUUCAUUUUGAUCUAAAUAGUUUACAAUAUUUUCUAUCAAAAACUAAUUUAGAAUAUAUAUAUAUAUAUAUAUAUAUAUAUAUAUAUAUAUUGAAUGUGGGGUCACUAAUUACCUAUUAUCGUACCACUUAGGCAAGUCGCUAACAUGUAGGUUUUUUGUAAGAGAGAAGUCGUUAAGAUGUAGUGGACUCUAGCACACGAGUGGAUAUGUUUCUUGUUGCAUCCAAGAUAUUGCCACCUUAACUUAAUUCUUCUUAAAUCGAAUUGUUUAGGGACCAACAAUAGUUGUCGAUCGACUCAUUAAAAGAAAGGAAAAAUAUAUCAGGAAUUUUAAUGUACGAAUGCAGUUGGACUCAAAGCGUAAUCAUGAGGCAAGCUCUUAUUUUUUAUGAAUUUUUCCCUCUAAAUAUAUUAUCACUACCAACCAUAUAUGUUGACAGUUUGGACUUAACAUAUUACAUCUAAUAAUUCUCUAUUAUUACUUCAAGUGAAUCAUGUGCUCCUUGCUACAUAUAAGUGCUCCAGUGCUCCCCUUUCAAUAACUUCUAAAUGAAUCUCCACCCUUUUACCUCUUUUGAAUUUUGAUCGGCAUUAAUUUACACGCCUCUUCAUUUGAGGCAACUAAAACAGGCUGUAGCCAAAUAGCCAAUGCCAAUCCCAUUUAAAAUAGAAAUAAAUAGUUGCCUCUAAUAGUGCUCCUGCAUAAUUUCGGUAACCUCCUUUGUUUAUUACUUAUCUUUUCAGUAGAAUAAAAUUUGUAACAUUACAGCUAACAAUUUCCAUUGUAGAAAAUUAAAGAUAUGAGCUUAAUUAACCAGCCACCUUAUAAGUUCAGUGACCUGCGAUGAGCACUUGUUUAAUUUUGACUGUAUUCUUGUUGACGGUGUCGCGCACCUUCAGGUAUGGCCGAGUAGAGCAGUCCAAGUAAUAUCUCUUUUGUUUCUUCAGAGCUUAAUUAGGGUUUAGGAUUUUUGGUUUACAUACUUGAGUGUAAAUCCUGUAAAAUUAUUAUUUUGAGUGUUGGAAUUUUCGUUUUGUAGAAAGUAGAUAUAGAAUAUGGAUAAAUAUGGAUGUACUAGCUCCACUCUCGUUGAGAAGGAAUGUUCCGGGGGGCCAAACAGUGAAAAGGCCCAUGUGAGGAUCAUAAAGGGCCGCAAAAAAAUAAUAUUUAUAAUUAAAUAUAUUGAAUCUGGCCGAAAAUAAUUUCAUAAUAUUUUUUCAAAUUUUUUUCAGUACAUCUCUUAUAUAUACCGCAUUCGAUACUUAUCGAUUAAUCUUCCAAAAUCAAAAUCUAUUCGAAGUACUGAUAAUUUUUAACAUUUAAAGCUUUGUUUUUCAAAAUCAUAAAUUUUGAAGAAACCUACGUAUCAGUGUCCAAAAUCAAAAUCUAAUUUUGAGACUUGUACACGAGGACGCGAGAGUUCUGGUGUACGGUGCACCAGGUGCAUGAAAUAAUAUUUUUCCUUUUUUUUUUUUUUUUUUUUUUUUUGGGAAACUCAUCUGUAGCCGUCCAACAUCCGCGAUGAUAACGACGAUUCGGCAGGAAUUGUAGGAUCACAAAAUAUCUACUCAUUCCCGCUUCAAUAGAGUAGUAGUUUCGCUCCUUGUAAGAAUUUGUUAUGGGCCGAUUCGUCUCUCUAUCAAGCCCAUCAACAUCACCAAAUAGAAAUUAGAUCAUAAAUUUCUAUUUCUUAGGAAUUAAUCGCGUAUCUCUUGUAUUUCUCUCUCGUAAUUCCUUCAAAAUCCAAAGGUACUGUGUUUUUCGUAAUUCCUUCUAUUUCCCCUUUUUUUUGUUGAUCUAUUUUCUAGACUUUAUUUUUUUUUUAUAUUUUUAUAGGUGUUUUUUAUUUUUUUGAUUUUACAUUAGGUUGCAAAACAGAUUAGAUUAGAGGAAAUCAAGGGUUUCGCAUUAAAGCGAGUUUUUUGAAAAAGUUUAUUAGAUUCCUAGUGGUAAAAGGGCAAGCACAUUACUGGGUUAUACAUAAUGUAUGGAACUGAGAUUGCCUUUUGCUUUGUUUCGCAUUUUAUUUUCUCUUAGUUUAUGUUUGUGUUGCCAACAUGAUCAAUUGUUACAUAUUUGAAUAAGUCACAAUUUUGUUCUUUUCUGUUCAAUUUUUUUUUUUUUGGCGGGGGGGGCGGCGGGGGAAGAGAAAAAGAUAUCAACUCCUUUUGUAUAUAAUCUCUGUAAGUAAAUGAUUUUGUUACUUCAUAGAGUGAAUAAUGGUGCAGUCUCUGUCCAACUUAUAAUAUCAAGCCUUGUCUUGAAAUUUGGUUGGUUGGUAACUUUUAAUUAUUCACUGUGUGAUCGAAAACUUCGAGCAAAUUGGACCGAUUUGAAUCAGUUGGUUAAGCUAUUUACUUGCAGCAAAUUUGAGUUGAAGCUAAAUGGUUAAGACAAGCUCACUUUGGCUUGAGGAUUCCGUUCGGCUAAUACGGUUGUUUUUGUUUCCCUGCGAACAAUUCGACAGUUGCUACUUGACAUUUGAUUUGCCUUGCAUUUGCUACGAAAAGUUAGAAACUGGACCUAAUGAGUUCGCAGUGCCUUGCGAUCUUUUGUUGAAAUUAUCUUGCCGAAAUAUUUGAUGCAGUGCCAAGAAAGCAGUUGUGAUCAGCUAACUUUCAAAUCGAUGGAGGAAGCGACGGAUAAGUAUACAAAAGAUGGCACGACAGAUAUCCAUGGAAAUCCUGCUGUAAGGAAGGAUACUGGGAAUUGGAGAGCUUGCCCCUACAUUCUUGGCUAGUUCUUAUGCCUAUCAUCUUUGAUUAGCUUCUAGCUUUUCAAUCUUUCUUUCUUCCGCCAUCUGAUUACCAUUAUUUUGCUGUAUCUCGACAGCGAACGAAUGCUGUGAAAGAUUGGCAUACUACGGGAUGAGCACCAAUCUGGUGAACUACAUGUUAGAUCGGCUUCAUCAAGGAAAUACUACAGCUUCCAACAAUGUCACUAACUGGUCCGGAACAUGCUAUAUCAUGCCGUUGCUUGGGGCUUUUUUAGCUGAUGCUUACUGGGGAAGAUAUUGGACGAUUGCUACUUUUAUGAUCGUCUAUAUCUUUGUAAGUAUAUAUAUAUAUAUAUUUAUAUAUAUAUGAUCAUUCUUCCUUAUUCUCCUACUUCUAGUCAAACUUUUAGGAACUAACAUUCUAAUUUCUUCUUUUACAGGGUUUGGUACUAUUAACAAUGACGGCAUCCGUCAAAGGGCUAAAACCAAACUGUCAAAAUGGUGUUUGUGACCCAACAACGGCGCAAACUGCAGUAGUUUUCUUGGCACUCUAUCUUAUUGCAUUGGGAACUGGAGGGAUCAAGCCUUGUGUUUCUUCUUUUGGGGCUGAUCAAUUCGAUGAGACUGACGAAUCCGAGAAGAAAAGAAAGAGCUCCUUCUUCAAUUGGUUCUACUUCUCCAUUAAUAUUGGGGCUUUGGUUGCUUCCUCUGUGCUAGUUUGGAUACAGAUGAAUGUGGGUUGGAGCUGGGGAUUUGGAAUUCCUGCGGUGGUGAUGGCUAUUGCGGUUGCGAGUUUCUUCCUGGGGACGCGUUUAUACAGGCACCAGAAACCUGGCGGAAGUCCAUAUACGAGAAUUGCGCAAGUUAUUGUGGCUUCAUUUAGGAAAUCUAGUGCACAGGUGACAAGCGAUAGUUCUCUACUUUAUGAAGUGACGGACAAGGAAUCGGCGAUACAAGGUAGUCGUAAGCUUGAGCACACGGAUGAAUUUAAGUAAGUGUACUAAUCCUCUUUUGCGAUAUUCAUUUCAUGUGCUCUAUGAAAAAUGAAACUGUAUUAGUAGCAACAAUAUUUGGGACUCGUGAUCUCUUAUUCUUCAUCUUUUCUCAAAUCUUUCAUGCUUGCAUGCUUUUGUUAUGCCCAUCCUUAAUCAUUGACUAGAAUGCAGCUAAAUCUAAUUUAUACUCUCUGAACAAUAAGUCUGCUGCAUCUUAAACCAGUUGUUGCGCUGAUGUAUUUUUCACUUGUUUAGUGUAGGAACCAUUUCUGAAUCUUGUUUGAUUGUGCACAGUAACUUGUUAUGAGUUGGAUAAGACCUUUUCUUCCUCUUUUUUUGUUUUGAUGGUCCAGGCUUGUUCAUUAUUGCUAGUAGUGAAGUAAAUAUUGAAAUUAAAAUCAUAAUCACAGAAGUAUAGUAGUUACAGAGCCUAGUAUGUAAGAAUAAAGCAUCAUACUAGGUUAUACACAAAU
rnacentral:lncRNA from 1 species